rnacentral:lncRNA from 1 species
UUUUUUUUUUUUGGUCUUCCCCAUUGAAAUGUUGUUGGCCAUUACGUUUCACCGCUACUGCUAAUUAUGUGGGUGUUAUUGGGCUGGACGAUGAAUAUUAUUGGGCUUCACCUAUUCACUAAUGCGGGUAAAUAGAGAUUAAGUCGCGGAUCGAUGAUGAUUAUGAGUUUGGUUAUGAUGAUGGUGCGGUUACUAUGAAACUUAUAAUCUAACUUUACAUUCUUAGCGGUUAACGCUUAUAAUCGUAACCUCAAAAUAUCCAGUCAACGCUAUUAAUAACCGUCAAACUUAAUCAAAUUAUGAUCGAUUAAACAGUUAAACGAUCAAAAUUGCCGAGCCUACUCCCAACAUUAAAACUGAAAUAAUGGAAGACCGCCAAAAUCUGAAAUUGGACACGCAAAACUGACAAACCACUCAACAAAGAUGAAAAAAAUUGCAAAAUGACUAUUGGGCGGCGGCUCGGCCACAAUGACCUUUUCUCUCUACCUACGAGUAGAGUUUUGUUCUACCCAAUGUUUAGGGUUUUCCUUCCCCGAAGAAUAAUAACCACCAAGUUCAAAAUUUUCAGACGGAUCAGUUCGAGACGACUCCCUAACCGCUUAAUUAGGAUGCUACAAGAUGACUAGCUCUGAUAACAUGACAUAUAAAAAUUUAAUUAUUGUUUAGGUUUCUUCAAAAUAUCAAGUUUUGAUAUCAAAGACAAAUAAGAUCAAUUUUAACUACAUAACGAGCGACUCUAUUCUCUAAGUAAUUGAACAUUAACGCGAGGAGACACUUCCAUUAAUGAGUUACGAGUAGACGUCGACCAGCCUUAUGCAGCACUCACAACCUCGCGCAACAAAACAUAAUAGAUUUCCUCAGAGAAAUCAACACCAUCGAACUAUUAUGGAUCAACACCAUCCAAUAGCCAAGACAAAAGGACGUCAUCCUCUCCUUCGUCCCACACAACAUCAUUAUGAUGAUGAUGAUGAUGAUUACUACUAUAAUUAAUCUCCCCUCCUCCGGUAAUUUGUUCCCAAUCCAGCCAUUGUUGCGAAACAGAGGAAGAGCGCUGAUUAUCGCUACUAUUACUGUUGCAGCUGCUCCCUCCUCCUCCUCCUCCUCCAUGAUCAUCAGCAUCCUUCAUUUCCCCACUGGGCGAAUCUUCAUGGAGUACUACUCUGCUUUUAAUUAGGCGGUUCAUCUCGCUGUCAAGCCAUUCAUAUGGUCCCGCCGCAUGAUCCUCUGCAACUUUCUCUUCAUCCAUUCUUAAUUCCUGUAGUUGGUCCCCACAGGCUGCGAUUUCGCCGUGAUCUUCUUUACUGCCGCCGCCGGCGGUGACCAGGGAUGGCGGCCUCUUACUGUUUCUACUGCGUGUGGACGAGGGAGAGGUGGAGGACGAAGAGGCAGAUGAAGAUGAUUCCAGACAGGGAGAAUGGGGUUGGCCGACGGUGUGGAAGGUGUAGAUUUUCCGGCGAAGGUGAGAAUUCCAGUAGUUCAUGAUCUCAUUGUCUGUUCUUCCAGAUAAUUGGGCUGCUAUCAACGACCACCUACAAAUAUAUAUCAUAAUGAUAUAUCAACUACGUAAUUAUUUUUUUCUAAUAAUUCGAGUUAAUAAAAAGAUUCAACAAUUAGUACAAAAUUUUAUCUAACAAUUCUUAACAUGCCCUUUAAUUGAAAGUUUGAGCACGUCCACCAAAUCUUAUACAUAUAAAAUUGUUAUAUUGGGCCGACACAUUUUUAAUAAAUUCAAAUAAUUAAGAAAUUUAUAAUUAAUUUAUAAAACAAUCUGUACUAUAUAAUAUAAUAUUGAUAUAAAAACUUUUAAGAUCGAGAUGUCUCAAUUUUAAAUUCCAAUUAAUAAUAAUUUAUCGAAUUUAUACAAAUCUAAAAAAAUUAUGUUCGAAGGCAAUGUUGAGUAAUAUAAAAAUCAAAAUUUGAAGCUUUACUACCAACUCAGUUUCAAUAACGUAAAUUAUUUAACAAUUACAACCGAAAUGAGUCUUGGGCAAACCGAUGAUUAAGCCCCCUAAAAAGCGGUUGCUCCCACUGAUUAGAAGAGAGUAAUUUACCUAUUGCCAAGGGAGCUGUGGAGCUUAACAAUGGCUUCUUCUUCAUCUUUAGUAAUAUUGCCACGCUUCAAGUCAUCUCUCAAGUAGUUAAUCCACCUCAGUCUGCAGCUCUUCCCGCACCUCAACAACCCUUUCCAAUUUUUUUCCAGGUACGUACGUAACAGAAAAGGACUCGAUCAGUAUCAGAUCAAAACAACCGGAAACAGAGAGAUCAGUGUACUAGUAGUACUACAUUACCGGCGUCCUUGGGGAGGGAUCGCCAUUUUCCUUCUCCGUGCAGGCGGAUGUAAGCAGUCAAGAUCUGGUCCUCCUCCGCCGCCCACCUUCCUCUCUUCAACCCUACUUUCUCGCAGCAAGGAGCUCUCCCCAUUAGUGUACGCUGUUUUACUCUUUUACCGUAGACUCUGCUGCCUGCGUGUACUAAUAUAACAAGCUGGCGAGCGAGGAGAUCGAUGGUGAAGAUGAACCCACGUUAUGGAAAGGGAGAGUGCCACGUAUGCUCAUUAAUUACUGGCCCUUCCUUUUCUUUCCCUCUGUAAUAAAUUGGUUGGCUAAUUAGCUGGGUAAUUAAUUGCAAGAUUAUUGUAUAUAUAGCAUUAAUCAUGGCAAUUUUGUAACCAUAAUUUUGCAAUCAUGGAAUGUUGGAUGAUGGUACCUCAAUCUAAUAGCGGUUUAGAGUAUCGAGGGUUUUACCGAUUUGGUUAGAGGCCGUGAGCAAAAUUUCACGUUUGGAGAGAAUUAGAAAAUUUCAUUGACCGAAAUUCGCAAACACACACCGAGUAGAAGGUUCAAUUCUGAACAUUUCACACAUAAAAUAGUCAUUUGUGAACCAGAAAACCUUGAACGUGACCUAGAUUCGGUCACACGUAGUUCCCCGAAAAACACAAAUAUAUCUAAGAUUAUGGCGCACACACACCAUCUUCUUAACAUAGUUGCUCGUAUAGGUAGACUGAGGCAUUGAAUGUCGACAGUUGGGGAAGAGAUCCUUCUAUACGAUCCGUCAAAAUCCUAAUAUCUAGCCCCUACGUGCAUCUCUCAACCCAGUUGUGGUUUCCCAUAAUGAAUAAAGCACCGAAAAUGAAUUUAUAAGUAUAUGCAUAGCCCAAGUUUGCGCGGCUACGAUUAAACGCUGGGUGCUGCAGAUCAGCCCCGUUACCUUUGAAGUUGUCUUGGAUGAGGUUGCGGUAACAGUGGCGACCAACACGAGAGACACUAUGGAGUUCAACUACUGUUCAAGCCAUAUCAUCGUUUCCCGUCGUGCUUUCUUGCUUCUGUAUCAUGUGGUCUGCAUUAGGGAAAAAAAGGAACCAUCGCCGCCUAUUUGAUAUAUAACUCCUCUUUAACUCGAACAUACACUCGAAUAAGUGUAUACAUUCUAACCAAAUAACAAUACCAGCAUGAACAAAAACUCCUCACGCCCUUCAUUAAUUUCAUUCCUUUUGCACCCCUCCUCUGGUGCUCGACCACGCCCUUCUUCAAUCACAAUCACAUAUGAACUUUGUCCCCAUAAAUUAGGACGGCUAGCGUGUGAAAUUAUUGCAAGCUAUUAAAAACCACCUGCCGUCCCUUAAAGGCUUUAAAUUAUGAUGACAUUUAUGCCAACUUGCACCCUUUUACCAUUCUCCGUGACACUGGCGGAGUUAAGUUACGGCGUGAUCUAUCCUCCUCACCAAGGAAACACACAGCCGGAACGGUAAUUAUCCCAGUUUACAGUAAAUACUAGUUACUAGCUAGAAGGUCAAGGAACAGCUGGCUCUAGCCGACAAUCGUAUUUACAGAGCUCGACGAGACACCCUUUCUACAUACCGUGGAAAAUGUGUUACCUCACCGAAGAUCGACAACCUCAAACUUCAUCUUGGCAUUCAGGUAGACAUGGGAGCAAUGCUCGUAGAUUGGGUUUCCAUCCACGGGCUCUUCGUGUGGAUGGAAUCCCCUUUGCUGGCAGUUGCGGAUCACAGAUACACCGCCCGGGUCCGACAGAUGGAAUAUGCCGUGUGGACUGCAAUGGAACAACAAAGUCAGUUUUAGGCAAGUUUAUCAUUGGAAUGUGUUGAUAUUGCAUAUGUUCGUUUCUAACCUUGAAUCAUCAGUUGGGGCCAUGACGAUAGCGAUUGCUUCAGGUAACAUGAUCUGGAAAAACAAAAAUGGAUGAUGCCCUUUUAGCAGGAUGCGUUGUGGAAUUAGGGAAAUAGGGUAACUUUGAAGAUGCCAAUGCCAUAUUGGGAAUGGUAAUUUGGAUCCGGCCAGUUUUGAGGCGAAUAAUACCCAAUCGCAAUGGCCAUAUGGGAGCGGACAUGUGUCACCGUUACGCUCCACCCUGACCCGCCCUGUUCUUUAGAAAAUCCUAACAAUUUCUUCUUACACUUAUUACUCUGACAUAGUUUUUCUUAUAAGUGAUAUUAACUAGUUAUUCCAAGUUUUACAUUAUUCACUUAAUAAUGUAACUUAAUUUUCACUAUUGUCAUGUAUUUGGAAAAAAAUACAGAUUACUAAAGGUGCCGUCAAUUAAAGACAAAUAGGGGAAGUGGAUGUUGUUCUUUCUUGAUACAUACCUGGUAGGAGUAAUGAGUGUGCAGAUCAACCGAUGACAUGAAACAGGUUUGUGUUGGAUGAGUCUGAAAUUCAACAAGGGAAAAGCUAAGCAUGGCGAAUUGGCUAAUCAUCAAAUAGAUAUCUAUAACUAAUCAGUACGGUGGGCCUAAAUUAACAUUACAUGGAUCCAUCCAAGAGGAAACAACGAGAGCUUGUCUUGAACUUCAAAUAUUUCUUCUUCAUUUAACGUCUGACACUGAAAGACAUGGAGGGUAAGAAUUAGAAAGAUAAAACUUACAAAAUGCGGAAGUAAUCAAUCUGAAGUUCACCGACAGAAAUGAUUACUAUACCGAAUCUGAAGUUGACUCUUGCUUUGGGAUUAUAAGCAUGCUGAUGUGGAACACCCUGUUUUUCUACAGCACAUGAAAACAAUUGUAAGAAGAUGUCAGAAUAUAAUCCCAAGCGAAUGAAGAAAUAUGCUGGCUCUUCCAUUGGUUUUUCUUACCAGAGCACCAGCUAAAACACCGCAUGUUUCUAGAUUUUUCUCUGUAUUUGCCCGGGCCAAUCUUAGGAAGUCAUCCAUCAUAUUUACAGGCUGCAAAAUUAGUCAAAAGAAAUCAGAAGAAAUGUGUAGUUGUCUAGAGAGGAUUAUGCAACAAUAUAACAAGUUACAGACGGCAUAAUGCCAAACUUGAACUAAAAAGCAGCAAAGAGUAUAUAAUAAGAGAACUCCGAAGCAUGGUACACUUACAACAUGCACGUCUUGAAAGGAAUUGGAGUCGGAAAUGCCAUCUUGGCAAGGUGCUGGACCAGGUCUUGGAUCAGCAACUUUAGAUGGCGGGAUGUGAGCAUAUUCAUGUUGAACUUGAGCAAGAACUGGUGGAGGGGAUGGUUGCCUAAUACCAACAAACUGAAACGGAUCCUCCCUUGCCUCACGAACUAAUGUGUUGGCUGGUUCCUCAAUAGGAUGUAUCCAUUUUCCAUCAUCCAAGGAAAGGACAGAAUCCAUGACACCACCAAGCCCUUCAGAUACGUUGUUCUUUGUUGCUAUACCUUCAAAUCCCCCAACCUGUUCUAAGCUGUGAAAUGAAAACAUAAAGAAAAGAUGAGGAAACAUGAUGAUGUAAUAGAGAACAAGGAAAACUAGGACCAGCACCAUAAAGAUACAAAAGCUGAGUAAGGAUUGCAUAGAUUUAAGAGGUGACUAGAUUGUGAAAUUCUUUCUUACCUUGCAUCUUGUGUAGAAGCUAACUCAGAAUGGCUAGGAUAUUGCACCUGUGGAGCACAAUAAAGUUACUCAGUGAGGGGAUAUCAUUUUGGCGAAACAAUGAAAAGAAUGGGAGAUCAUAUUAAAAUACAAACUGAAAAAACAACUCAUGCGGAAGAUGGUAUAAUGGAAAUAACAACACCGGAAAAGGCAUGAAGGUUACUUUUAUCUCUGCAGUAGGAGACCGCCAUUCAGCACGAAGCCCGUUCGGUCCUAAGAGCGAGUGCCUAGACAAAGUCUCCUGAUUUGGAACAGGACGGCCGAUUGAUCUACAAAUGCCAUGAGAAAACAGGUUAUCCUCUGUCUACCCAGCUCGUCAUAUAAGCUAUAAACAUGCAGCACAUCAAUACUGAUUCGUAUUAAUGGAAAUAAAACCAACUGGAGGACAACACAAAAUAUAGUAUGCUCAUGCCUCAUAAGGACGAAGAUACACAAGCUACAGUAAAAAUCCUACAGGUACCUAGAAAGGAUCUAAAGGAUAUUUUCAUUUUUCAGUUCAAAGUUUAUUAGUAAAACUCUACAAGGGGGGGGGGGGGGGGGGGGGGUUUUGCUUGCGAGUGUCGCCUGCGGCUCGAUCCGGCAUGAAGAAUAUAAGAAGAACAGCACAAUAAAAAUGAAUGAAUUGAUUAAGGAACAUACUCACAACUUAUGCAAUUGCUUUUCAAGUGCUGAGGAAGUCGAGUAAAGAGUUGGAGCAUCAUUGUUUCUCCAUGAAGAUUGAGGAACCGUGCUCCUAGGCUAAAAAUGGUAAUGGUAACAACAGAAGGAUACCGAGCUAUAUCAGCUAGGAAAACCACAAAGAACAAAAGAAAACAGUAAACAGAACUAGAGAAACGUUUUCAAGUGCAAACAACAUACCUGUAUAUUACUUCUUUCAGGGUAAGCAUUUCCAGUCAUUGAUCUACUCUGUGGAUAUGACGACCCUGAACCAUAUAUAACUUCUUCCCCACCACCAAGUUCACGUAUUUGAACACUAGAAUAAUCUCUGUUCAGUUCCUCCACACAGCGAUUGAAUUCAGGUUUCAAAGAUUCAAGUUCCUCCAAUACAGAAAGCAACCUCUGUACCAAAUAGAACAAAGCCAAAGAGCCAAAUGUGUCAUCCCCCAACAUAGAACUAAACAUGACAAUCACAAGGAAUAUACACAUGAAUACGUCACAUGUUCACCUUUCUAUAGCUAGCUUUUUCCUUCAGAUGAAAACCUUGAUAAUCCCGAUGGAAUGGAAUCGUUUCAGAGACUAAACUGUUUAGAUAAUAAAAAAUAUCAAAUGUGAAAUUUCAAAUUCACAACUCAAAAUCACACUACUAACAGUUUCAGCAACAAGAAGCAAAUUCAGCUCCAGCAAUGAUUCUACCUCGAAAACCUGAGAAGCAUGAUAUACAAAUCCACCACAUUACGCUCCUCCCGGUAAACGCUCGCCUGAAACGGAAACGAAAAGAUAAAAUUCAUCACAGCCAUUAAACUGAACUUGAAAAACGAUACUACCGCGCAACUGUCUAAUACGAGAGCCGAACCUGUCUAAGAAGGUUAUCGGCGAUCCUGUAGUAGUACCGGAGAGGAAUCCGAUUAUCCACCUCGACUUUCCGAGCCGUUUUAUUCAGGUCGAUCUUCAUCGUUUUUCUUCUUCGUCUAUAAACCGUUCUUCUCCCCUAUCCAGCUGGAAUCACCGCAGCUCCAGCGGCGAGGUUUCUGCCCCCGAUCACCUCCGAUCUCUGAGAGGUAGAGCAGUGGAACUUGAGGAUUGGAAUAGUAGUCGGAAGGAAGGAUCUCUUGACAACGUAGCAGCUAAGGAAGAAGGAAAAUGGCAAAAGUCGUCUUCCAGACGAGCGUCUUCUUUAGCUUUGUGUUUCCAAUUUCUUGAGAGAUAUUGGGCGAGUAAUCGCCCGCGGCCGAGAUUACAUGGGUACUACUACGUGUCGGAUUUCUAUUUGUUGAACGAUAUGGACUGAAGGGCUCAGAAUUCUAACGUCACUGAGGUGGGCUUGAGCCAGGUUUAUAAGCAAGCGUAGUUGGGUUCCUUAGGGGACACUUCCUUAUACGAGCCCAGUUAAGCAUUGAUUUAAAUUUAAAUUUUUUAAUUUUAAACAAGCUUAAAUUGAAACGAAAAAUUGUUGUAGCAUUUUCCUUCAUGAUUUGGAGGUAGAUAUCGAUAAAAUCCGAAGGAAUUGACCAAUUUGUUAGUUUUCAUGACAAAAUAAUAGUACUAUUUCGUAUCAAACCCAAUUCUUCUCCUAUGCUAGAAUUCAAAAUCUCGUUGGAAGAGGAGGGAUUUCAAAUUUCUUGACGGAAAAUAACAAUCCUAUAAUUUAGGCAAAAUAUCUCAAAAUGUCACGAACUUUGAGCAUAUAUUGAAAAUUGUCACCAUCGUUUUGAUAUAAAUUUUUUGUCACAAACUAUCAAGUUUCACACCAAAAAUAUAUUGUCGUUAAUUAGUAUUGUCUUACCUGCCAUGUGACCUUAACGACGUUAAAUGACUCAGCUUAUUUACCUCCUUCAAUUUCCACAUAGAUUGUAAAUAUAAAAAAGGCAAAUAUGUGGAUUAAUCGGCGCUCUUAUCCAUAUAUAAAUAUCCUCUAACACUAAACCCUACAUCUCUUCUUCUCUCCCUUUAACCGCCGUCCACCAUUUUUUGCUCUUCUCUCAAUCUGUCGGCCGCCACUUUUUGAUUUAUUCUCUCAAUCUGAGGUAAUAAUGCUGGGGUCUUUAUCCUCCCAUACAUAAAGGAGCAUCCGGAGGUCAGGUAACGGCACCACCACAUCAUGUUCGGUGAAGUGUUCCCACGACGUCAAGGCGGUGCUGAAGGUUGGCACCACUAAAAAGAACAGAGGUCACACAUUCUUCCGAUGCCCGUUCUGGAGGACCUCCAAUUAUUGGUUCUUCAUGUGGGAGUCCGAUUAUAAUAGAUCUACAGGGGAAAAUCUGGUUUCAAGCAAAGGGUGGAGGAGACUUGAAGACCCUGCUUCAAAUAUCCAUUUUGAGUUACUGCUGCAGGAUAUUAGGGGUGUUAGAAGCAAGAUCGAAGACUUUGACCGUAGAAUAACGCUUGUUCUUGGUAGUAUGUGGGUGGUUGUGUUGGUUGUCGCCAUUUGCUGCACUGUUCGUUAGUCCAACUUGAAUAUAUUUGGUUGCCAUUGUGUGGUUGUUUGUGGUACUGUAAUGUCUAUGAGUUUUCUAUCUUCAUUUUGUAGUAACAUUGGAAUCUUGCAACCUUGUAAUAUGGAACAUCUAGAAAUACUUCCCAUCUUCUAUAAAGUAGGUACCAAAACAGAAGCUUGUUAAUAACAUCCAUCAAUGUCAAAGCGCAUUACACAAAAUAUGAACUUACUAACAUCCAUCAGUGUCAAAGCACAUUACACAGCAUAGCUUGUUAAUAACAUCCAUCCUUGUCAUAGGACAUUACACAAAAUAGGGACUUUUACCAUCCAUCAUAGUUAACAUCCACAAUACCGAGAAAAGAUAAUAACAUACAUAAACAUUCACGAACACAAAAUGCUGACGUUGCUACAAAAUAAACAUCCACAUCCUCAUUGCUCCAAUGGUUGUGACUGUGGUGGCUGUGAUCCCAUGAGCUGUUCUUCUUCUUUAUUGUUGAGAGCUAUCCUCCUAGUCUUGAUCCUGGACCUUGGAUUGUGUAGAGAGUGCAACUCCAAACAUGAAUGUGAUCAAACCUACCACCAACAUUGUUAUAUUAUCAUAUGAGUGAAAUAAUAUUUACCCGAGGACGAAGAGGCAGUAGACAACGGCGAGCAUUAUGGCCUUUAUUCCCGCAUUUCCGCAUGUCAUUGUCCUCUUAACUGGCCUACUUUUUCACUUGACCUAUCCCGAGUUCUCCUACCAGCCACUGUCCCAUUUUCUUGUACUCCUCCUUGUUCCCUUACACUGUCACCUUCUUCUCCACCUCUUGUGUCACAAUUGUGUGUAUUAUGACCUCUGAUCCCACAUCUACCGCAGUGCAUUCAGACACCUUUCCUUCGUAGCACCAUUCCCACCACACUUUUGGCUGGCCUAAUUUCGAGCUCCUGAGCUUCCUUGCGUUUAGACUUCUUAGGUCUGCCAGGUAGGAUCCUUGUAGGCGGAGGGUGGAUGACUGUACCAGUAGCCACCUCCCAAGCCUGUUUUCCAGGCAAUGCUGGUAUACCACCAUACCCAUAUGCCUUCCGAGCGUACUCUAAGGUAAAGUGUUAUGUUGUGUAUGUGGUCACGUCCUUGCACAUAAACGAACAAACUGCUAUAGCAUGCACACCAAGAAUACCUGACACGUCCCAAUAACCACAAGUACAAGUACGCUUUCCAAGAUCAACUACAUAGCCGAAGUCAUUCCGUUCACAUUCAACUACUAAUCCUCUAGAAAAGAACCAAACAAAUAUCUUGAGGUAUAACCUCAAGGUCGAUUUCUCAAGGGUCUACUUGGCCUUCACUACUCAGUCUCGGUUUACUGGUCAGUCAAAUCACAGUUUGGAAAGGGUUUAUACUAGACUAGAGAAUGAAACAGAACAACAAAAUGAAAGGAAACAUGAAGACUAGGAUGCAAAUAGAACAACUAGAUAGCUAAGAAUAGAACUAAAUGUAAGAACAACUGUGGAGAAAAGGCCUUACUUGGAUUUUGGAUCAUCCUAAGAACUAUGGAAAACUGUACAAUAGCAUAAUAGACAUGACAUGGAUAAUAACACAUUUUGGGUCCUAAAGAUCGAGUCUGUCAACACAAUGAUCUAGAACCACCUGCAACACUCACAAACAUCUGCUCAAAAAAUAACUCAACAAUCAAUCUCACAAGCAAACCCAAAACAGAAAAACUGAGAAAACUGUGCAUCAAAUGGAAACAAGAUAACCGAGGCAACAAGAUAGCAAAACAUAUCAUCAAUCAUAAUGCAUCCACAAUCCUAUCACUACAUACUAUAACAAUCCCAUAAAUCCAAAGGAAUCCACAAAACCCAAACAAGAAGAGAACCUAACUCUCCAUGGAAGGUGCAGAUAAUGCUACAAACUGCCAAUCCAUCAAAGUAGAAGGUAGAUCCUCCAUUGGGCUUCGAUUCAUUGGCUAUUUGGCUUCAAAUCUUCAUUCCCAUGGUGUUCCUAGGCUCAUGAGCAAUUCCACCUUCGUCAAUUUAUAUAUUAGUUCAUCUUCAUGGCUCUCUCCUCCACAAAACUCGAUUUGGGGCUAAAAUAGAAUUUUGUCUUGAAUGUGCAUUACGGUCGCGAUAGCAAGUGCCACAGCUGUGACUCAUCAACAGCCGAAACUUCCGACUUCUUUCAGUCGUAACUUCUUCGUUUGGACUCCAAUUUUGCUUCGGAAUGUACCAUUGGCUUUAUAGUUGAACCCUUUAUCCAAAGAAUACCUGCACUCAAGGAAAGCACUCCAAGAAACAAGUGAAAUGAACCGAGAUGGUCAAUUCGAGAGGAAACUAGUACGAAAUGCAAUUAUGAUCAAACCGGACGCUUCUAACAAUUAAAUAUCAUCAAAACCGAAGCAAAAGCUAUUCAAUGUGGGGUCAAAACAGCUACCAAUAAUCAUGCUAUGAGCUACCAAUUCCAAAUUCUACCUUACCACACAAUGUCUAGCAACUAGCUUCCCCUUCUCUAUUUUGCCAGAUAUCCUAUGACAUAUGACACUUUCCUUUGUGUGCAUCUUAACCUUUUCUACUAGACGUUUCAUCAUAUACGUACGGAUUCCCUCCAACAUAUUAAUGAUUCUAAGCCCUCUCUAUUUAAAUAUACAUCCAUUAAAUGUUUCACAAAUGUUGCUCUCAACGAAAUCACUCUUAGGGACUCUUGACACGAAAGCACGUGAAAAGGUUCUAGGGUUUACAUUCACAAAGUCAAUAUAGCAUCUAGGAUCUUCACUUGAGUCUUGUAGACGCUUUUAAGUUGCAAGAUGAAUGUUGAACUCAGAUUCAUUACAUGAAUACACGCAAUUCCAGAAAGCUUUCCUAUUAGUUCCAGUGUUAUGCUUGAUCUUCUAAUCGGCAGAAACAUGUCUGACACAUUUGUGAUGUUCAGGAAGUGGAAGUAACGUUUCAAGGUUCAACUAGUCCAUGCAUUCAUAGUGUAACAUGAUUUAAAACCCUAAACCAAACAUAGCAUAAUUCGGAUUACAGUAAUACCAAAUAUAGUAAUACCAACCUUAUUGGCCAUCCAGUGCCAUCACACAAUCCCAAUUCUGCUAACAGUAGUGAUAUAAACCACCCCCAGUAAUUAGUGUUCUCACUUUCCAUAACUGCCCAUGCAAUAGGGAACAUCUGAUUGUUCCCGUCUUUCCCUAUUGCACUCAAGAGCAUUCCUUUGACCUCUCCCUUCAGAAAACAUCCAUCUAAACCUAUAAUUCUCCGACAACCAGCAAUAAAUCCCUUAUGCAAACAGGAGAAUCCAAUGUAAAACCUUUGGAAUAGAACAUUAUCCUUCGAGGAAACUGGUUCGACCUCAGUUACAAACUUCCCACGGGGGUCUAAUUUCUUUAGUUGGAGAACAUAUGACCGUAACAGUGCAUAUGAUCCUUGUAGUGUCCCUUCUAUCAUCUUCUUGGUUUCAUUCUUGGCAUUAGAACAUACACGGAAAGUUACUUUGAGACCAUGAGUGGCCUUGAUCUCAGCUGCCAACCUAGCAGUAUCCAUAGUCGGAUUUAGCUUAAAACUGGUCAGAUACUACUUUUUGCAAUCCACCUUGUUGUGGCACGCCUCACAUAUAUUGUACGUGGGCAUGAAUGUGCCUCUCCUAAAGCUUUGAUUGUGAAUGCUUCAUUGCGUCCAAACCAACUAGCGUAACAUCGCCACCUGCAUCCAUGUGUUUCACAUACUGCUUCUUUGCUAAACGCGUUGCUUCUCUUCCGUUUGAUGCUUGCACCAUGAGCAAUGUUGUAGUGAGCUAUGGCAUCCUUGAACUGAUUGCCGUUAGCGACCCACAUCUUUUCUUUCAAAACCAGCUUGUUGUGGUCACAUUUUGAAUCGUAGUACGCACCUCUCAAUCUAGCGGGCAGUCCUCUUCCCCAUCCACUUUGUCAGCACAAUCAUGAUCCAAAUCAGAAGAUGCCCUAUAACUUGAUGUCAGAGGACUAUCAGGUGCGAUGUAUGUUUUGUCUUCAGAUUCAUCAUCAGCAUCCUACCCUGGAGAAUCAAGAACAUAGUUGUUGCCUCCAGAAGGUGCUUCAACGUUAGACGUAGGUAUUACAUAUGGAUUCAGAUCAGCCUAUGCUUUCUUUCCGCUCUCUUUAGCAGCCUUUGUAGAAUCCCUAACAUACUUGGAAUGCCAGCCAAAAUGGACCUCUUCAUCACCAUCAGAGUCGUAGGUUGUCUGCGAUUUCCUCUUCUCUAAUAUACCCAGAUUCUCCAUGGCAACAUAGAAUUUAGGGUCUGAAGUUCAAUCCAAAUCACAAUAAGAUGGAUGAUCCCCUCAGCAGCAGCAACUUUGGAAAGUUCAACUUAAGGAUCACUGGUGCCAUAGCCAUGUUCUUCAUCACUGAUUACUUCAUUGUCAUCUACCCCUUCCGGUCUAGUUGUUCCUUCCAUGUAUAUGAUGAUGACUCCUCUCUUAGAAGCUUCACCCAUAGCUAACACCUCUCCAUCCCUACGGAUAAUAAUAAUUCCAUCAGCAAGUGUACAACCUGGAUUUAUGUACCACAUACUAUCCACAGUAGUGUACUCUAGUUCUCCAAUACCAAUGGCGAACAGAUCUAUAUAGCUCAGAAAUUCCUGUCGAUAUGAGUUUCAGUUACAGACCCUCCUACACAAUCAGCCCCCUCGGAGGAUAGUUGCAUUCUACCGCCAUGGUGAAUGACGAACUCCGCAAUGUCACCCAUCCUGCUUGUACACGAUGAAGAGAUGAUUAAAUACUCAAAAGGGAAACCCUACAUCGGUAUAUGCCCCUACCAAUAAUGGUGAGGGCUUCAAAUGGAAACAAAAGGGUUAAAGGUAAAGCAUUGAAGGACCACAACAACCCAACAAUUGAAUAGUAUUUCACUUUUCGUAUGGUCGAUUUCGUAAAAAGGGUAGAAGAUUCUUGUGCAUGCUUCCAACCUUACCUUAUCAGAAGUAGCAGACCCAACUAUCGUUAAUGGAUCCAAACACCACCUUGGAACACCCGAAAGUUUAACACCAACAACACUGAAGGCCACUCAGUUCGUUGGCGAUGAGAUUCAAGCAAAACACAGCUGAUUUACCCUACAAAACACUAACGACUGUGUAUCAUCAUCUUCCCUUUUUCUUUCACGCUCUGUAAUUGGAAUCCAGAAAGACGAAGCAGAAAGGAUAAACCCUAAUCGUGAUGUUGGCUACUUUUUAUACCAGGGAUAAACGGAUUAGAUCGUUCUAUUUUGAAUGAACGGUCGAGAUGUGAAAUAAGGACUACCCAUGUGGGCAACUAAUUCUAAAUAAUGAAAUUCCACAUCGUCGGUCAAAAGGUGACGUGUACCGAUUGCGGAUAAAUCAAUUGAUAGAGUCAAGCAAUAACUAAUGGCAAGACAUUUUUGGCAUGAAACUUGAUAUUUGUGAUAGAAAAUAUAUAUUGAAACGGUGGUGACAAUUUUCGACAUAUGCCUAAAGUUUGUGACAUUUUGAAGUAUUUUGCCUUUAAUUUAAGCUGUAUGAAUGUUAUUGUGAUAUUUAUCAGUCCAUGCAAAUCCUAAACAACCAAAUAUGAAUAUGUAAUAUACCUUAAUAUUUUAAUGGUUGAGAUUCAAACCCAUAUCUUUUCAAUAUCAAGUUGCAUGUGUUACGUGUAGAAUGGUUAAUAUAAACAAAAUUUUCUAGCCCACUCACGAAGAACCAACCAAACUCUGGCAAGCAAGGACAAGCGAAUUUUCGAACAAGCAAACGACACGCAUUUGGAUAUGGGUCGGCGGUAUGAUUAUUGGGUAGCCCUCAUUACUUCGAGCUGGAAGGUUGGUUAGUUGGGUCGAGAAGUGCCGAGUUUGGCUUGGCAGUCCCAACUGAUUGGAUGGCGACCGGGUAAGGAGGGUUCGUAUUCUCUUAGCACCAACAAGUCUCUCCACACUCGCUCAGGUGCCAACAGUACUGCAGCAGGAAGGCUCAUUAGAGAUGAUAGAGGUUAUUUCGUCAAAGCCUUUACUGUCAAUCUUGGUAGCUGCUCCAUUACUCGAGCUGAGAUGACAUGAACUGUUAGAGGUCUUGAGUUGGAUUGGUCGCUUGGUAUUCGACGUAUUCGAGUUCAAUCGGACUCCAAGGCCGCAAAUGCUCUUCUCUCUCAGUCCUCGUCUCUUGUUCACCAGCAUACUAUCCUGGUUCUGCAGUUUCAGGAAUUCUGUAAACGUCAAUGGAAAAUUGAUGUUUUCCAUAUCUACAGCAAAGCUAAUUGUAUUGCGGAUUAUCUGGCCACUCUUAUAUGUAUGGUUUUCAUAUUUUUCAUUCAUCAAAUAGAGACCUGUCUCACUGGCUGAACUAUAAUCUCAUUGAUGUUUUCCUACCACAGCUUGUCCCAUUAGAUUACAAUAAUACUUAAGGGCACUUCAACGUCGUUUUCUAAAAAAAAACUAAGAACAGACCGAAAGUACCCUUCAAUAGACAGAUCAAUAAAUCCUAACUUCCUCCUCUUCAAUAUCAAGCACUAAAUCAUAGAUAAAUUGAUCAUUCUUGAUAAUUAAUUGAUGCUUAUAGUACUGCAUAUAGAAUUAUAUAGAUUGGUAAAGCUACAAAAAAGUUAGAAAUUAAAACUAGAGUAAUAAUCAAUAUAUAGUCUAUAGAAAGUAUUGUUGAUUUCAACCAAGCUAGACCUUGAGUCUUUGAUACUUUGCCUGGCUAGACGCAUGACCAAUGGUUGAAAGCCAGCUGGCUGGCCAUGACGACGCAAGUAAUAGCAUACAAGGACCAAGUUGCAGCAUUGAGAUCAGUCGUUUGAGAAGCCUGGAGAUGCUUAGGAGUCACUUCGAUUACAGUACUAGAACUGGUACUACUAGAAGAAGGGGCAUCAUCAUCUAGUGUAGUAGUAGUAGUAGUAGUAGUACUGGUACUGCUGCAGGUAGCCUUGAAAGUGUCCUUAACAUCGUUGAUGGUGGCGUUGUUAUUGAAUUUGAAGUUGUUCAUGAUCCCUUGUAAGCAGGUGAGCACCAGAUUGGUCUCCGUAAAGCAAGCCCCUCUGCAAUAAGCUUCCAUUUUUUCCACUCUGAGGCUCCCGCUCUCGUUCAGUCUCAUGUCUUCGUCGCACUUCUUGUAUACCUGAUAUUAUCCAAUGUCAGUUACUUGUUACUGUGGUUAAUUGGUUUAGCUGUUAGAUAAAGAGUGGGCUGAAUGAUGGUGGUCUUAUUUUACAUACUGUCCUGUUAUUGAAGCAUUGCAUGGCUUUAGCCACUAUUUGGGCUGGAUCGCUGCGCUUACUGCUACUCAUGUUAUUGCUGCUCCGAGAUGAUGAGCUUCCAGAACUUCCGUUACCUCCAGCGACGCCGCUGGCCUUACCUGCCAUAUAUCAUCACUUGAAAAGUUCGGUGGUGUAUUGCGGUGUAAUGGACUAUUAUAUUUUUAAUAAAAAUUUGUGUUUUUAAAAUUACUCGUUAGUAAAAUACAUACGGUGAAUUAAUAAUUCACCUAAUUGACAUCGAGAAAUGAGUGCGGACAUGAGAAGCACGGCCAUAACUCCCAUCCUGAUUGUGGAUGAAUACUUUGCCAUGGCCUUUGAAGUUCUUGUUGAGGGGAGAAGCAAGUUUUGAACUUGAUAGAAUAUAAUAGUGGGGACUGAUGGACAAUGUAGCAUUAGCAAAGGAUGGGGUUUAAAUAAGAAAAACCACAGCCACCAAACCCUAUUAUAUAUAAAAAAGGUUCAAUUAUACUAAUGAUCAUAUAAGUUUGGACUUUUUGUCAAUGUGGUCACCUUAGUAAACACUUGAUUGGUUCGAUGAAUUUGGCUAGUUUAACCGUUGUUACGACCAUGCAACACAUUUCGUUACAUGUUUUUAUCAUAUAUAGCAUGUCAUAUUUCAUGUCAUCAAAUUGACCAGUUUAUGACAUCAAAUUCUUAUUUAAACUAUUAUAACAAAAUAUAAUAGUCAUUUUAUUUAGGUUCGAUGUUAUAGACUGGUCACUGUACAUAUAUGUACGAAGUUACGUGAUGGUCACUUAUUUAAACCCCAACCAAUUGUACUUAACUUCAUACGAGUUAAUAAAGUUUAAACUUGAGUGACCACGUCGACAAAAGGACCAAACUAGAUGACCAUUAAAGUAUUUUACCAGGGAUUUGGUUAGUUAUAGUUAGACGAAUUUGAAGAAAUGAUUUCCUAGACCAACUGUUAUAACUAACUUUAGAUUGGUUAACCAAAUUAGAGAAAAAACAAGGUCUCUACAAGACUAUAAUUGUAAUAAAAAAANNNNNNNNNNNNNNNNNNNNNNNNNNNGUCUCUACAAGACUAUAAUUGUCAUUGGUGGGUUGGUUUAAUUUCAUUGUCUCAGCUUUGGGACGUGGUAGCAUAUGAAUAGUGAUUUAGAAGUUGCGGUAGGUGGUGAGAUAGGGAUAUUUGGUUCUCGUUGUUCAGAGUAGAUUGAGAUUUUCGAUUAAUAUAAAUUAAAAGAUAAAAAGUAAAUAUAUGUCUAUUUUCUAAAAAGUGACAUAUAAUCGGUCUUCGAAUGUGAUUAAUGGUGUGAUACACAUGUUUGUUAUUAGAAGAGUUAGAUGAUCAAAGUGACUAAAAUUUAUAUUUUACAAAGUUUAACUUGAUUUUUCACAAGCUUUAAAAGGUUUGGACGGACGGUUAUAAAUCUUAAAAUUUAAACUGAAAUUAAACAAAUUAUCAGAAUUUAAGUCUUGUGUGGUAUGGUGAUUAAAUUCUUUUUUUGGUAUGAAAAUAAAAAUUAAAUAUAUAUAAUUUAAACUCUCAAAUACAUAUUUAUGAAGAUUUUCAAAUCUUACCAAUAUAGAUAAAAUUUCAAAUCCCAUCAAAAAAUACACUUAUCAAAUCUCAAUUUAACUUCUCAAAUUCCACUUUAACAUAAAUAUCAAAUAAAAAAUUUAUUGAAAUUUCUACCAUCAAUCCCUUACAUUUUAAAUAUAUACUAUUUAAUUAAAAAUAUUAGUUUUAAAAUCUCUAUUAUCAGUCCCUGAUAUUUAAACAAACGAAUUUUGGCCAAUAACUAAUUUACAAUUGGCCCAGAUUUAAACGAGCCGUCGGAUAAUUUUUUAUUUCUCGAUACGACCGGGACACUGCCAGGUGACCGGGAAAGAACGAACAGUCUUCGUUUGGUUUAUUUUUCUUACCAGAAAUUGACUUCUCAAUUUCACUUGCUCGGCAAUCGAUCGCUCUCAGCUCGCGACGAUGGCGACUGACUUUCCAGGGCAGCUGCUUGGAUAGGAGAUUCAUUGACGAUAGCCAUGUCGGAGAUACUGCAGUGCUCGGAGGAAACUGGCAUGAGCUUGCCAGUAGCCGAGAUGAAAUGAUCCAUAGUUGGUUGAUCGGACUUUUAUUGGUCGUCGUAAUCUGUCUCUCUCUGUUUUUAGUCUGUUAAUCUCUUGUUAUACUAUCUACAAUAGAUUUGGAUGCUGGGAAGGUGUUGGAGGAAGCGAAAUCACGAUGGCUUCGUCCAAACGAGAUUCAUGCGAUCUUGUGUAAUCCAAAAUACUUCACCGUCUUCGUCAAGCCUGUGAACUUACCUAAGAGUAAGUUCCUAUUCCUGAUAAUGGCUACAGUGUCACUGAUAUUCAAUCGCGAGUCACCAGUCCAGUUGAUAGAUAUCUUACUUUAUUUAUCGUCCUGUCUAGAUGACACUCUGAAUGGUUGCAUAAUAGAUCUCCAACUGUCAUUUGGCAGAAGGCUAAGUGUUGUGUAGUUUUUGUACCAUACCAGGUGGCACCAUUGUAUUGUUUGACCGUAAGAUGCUUAGGAACUUCAGGAAGGAUGGUUAUAGAUGGAAGAAGAAAAGGGAUGGAAAGACUGUUAAAGAAGCUCAUGAGCAUUUAAAAGUAAGGAUCUGUAUUCUCAAGAACCACCACAUUACUUUCUGACUUCUCAAAAUUUGCCUGAGGUUAUUAUUCAUUUCCCUCGCUUGUUCUUCCUUUUGCUAAUGGAAUGAUGGUGGUAAUUGAUGCACAUUUUAUGACCUCUUUAAACUUGGAAAGCUGCCUCCUCUAAGCUGCAAAUAAAAGUACUAUUUGUCGGGAUCACAUAAUAUCCUUUCUUUGAUUCUAUAUUUGGCCAGGUUGGUACUGAAGAAAGGAUUCAUGUAUACUAUGCACAUGGUGAAGAUAAUCAGACGUUUGUACGCCGAUGUUAUUGGCUGCUUGAUAAGUAUGUAUCUUUAACAGUAAAUUACUCUUGAUUGAUAGAUGUUAUUGUGUAAUGUGUGCACUUGAUAGUGUUGCUUUUUACCAGAUAUUUAACAUGUUCUUUCUUUCCUGUUCUUGUACUGCUUUCAGGGCUCUGGAACACAUAGUCCUGGUUCACUAUCGAGACACUCAGGUGGUUCGAAUUUUAUAAUUAUCGCCUGUUACUAAAUGUCUAUGUAGUAUAAGCCACGUCGUAUGAUGGGGUGAUUUGCAUAAGCUGCCCUCCAUAGUUGAGUACCAGAUAAAACUUCCUUGAAACUCUGGAUCUGGAGUCGUUUCAUAUUUGAUAAUUGUAACACAAGUGCGGUGUAAUUUAUGUUUGAAAGGAAGCAGAUCAUUUUCAUGUGCAUCGAAAAAUUGGUAGCUUCGGCUCUGAUACGUGCUUAACUUAGAGCUAUGGCAGACCAUCUAAGCUCUCUCUUUUAUAGGGAUAGGUUGCAAAUUGUUGAGCUUCUGUGGGUAUGAAGUGUUCAAAAUCUUACGACCUCUGUGUUUUACUUCCUGUACAGUUGCAGAGUCCUUCUGUCACGCCUCUGAAUUCAAACUCGAGCUCAGUUUCAAACCCGUCUACACCCUGGCUUUCAGCUGAACAAUUUGAUUCUGGAGACGGUCAUGCAUAUUCUAUAGCCGAGAAAGAUCUUGUAGGUCAUGUUAACUUACAUGCUUCAUUAAGGAAACAUUUCCUUUUGCCACAUUGAUUUUAGUGUCACUGGUCAUUCAUUUUAUUAAGUUGCUAGACUACUAGAGACAUUACUUUUACCAAGUUGUUAAAGUUAUCUCUUCCUCGCUUAUCAAAAAGAAUUUGAUAGACAGAUCCUGGGAGUUUGACUGUCAACCAUCAUCAAUUGAGGAUUCACGAUAUCAACACGCUUGAAUGGGAUGACCUGGUGUCUAGUGAUCCUAAUAAUCUGAUAACCUUUGGAGGUACGAAGUCCUUUCCUUGGCGGUUUCUGUAUAAAUGUCCAUUUUUCUAUGUCCUCUUACUUGUGCACUUAUUGUCACUGGCUGUUUAAGAAAGAAAUUUUACUUGGCUAUCAACAGAUAAUAGCUCCUACCUUAACAAGCAGAACCAGGUUGCUCUGAAUGGGGCUGCUAGUUACGUAAGUUUUGUUUUCAUAAACUUAUUCCAUGCAAUCUCUUAGAUUUGAGCUUCAUAAUUCUUAAUAGCCUUCUUUAGUAUUGUCUUUCAUUAGACAGCUCAAAUCUUAACUAAUUUUGACACCCGUUCUUGGUUCGUAGCACAAUGCUUCCCUUCCUGCCUCUAACAUAUCUGAGGGCAAUAGCCCUAUAAACCAAGCAAUUGGCCCUUAUGUGAACAGUGGUACCACUUUCUACAGUGCCCCAGCUGGUACCUAUAGUCAGAUAUCUAAUCUCCAGCUAAAUUCAAACACGCAAAGUAUACACUAUCAGACUAUGGGCCUUGAUUCUUCACUGGACAACUUAAUUACUGAUGGUUUGCAAAGUGAGGAAAGUUCUACAAAGUGGAACAAUGAUGCAAUGGCCACAUCUAAGGCCUCUGUAGAAGAUCAUUUGUUUGAACCUUCUAUCUCACCCGGUGACGGGUCAUCUGCUUCUCCAGCAAUUGGUCCUGGUCAAUAUUCUGUAGAAGGGUACUCGUUUGUCAUAACCGAUGUCUCACAUGCAUGGGCCUUUUCAUCUGAGACAACAAAGGUUAGUUCGUUCCUCCUUUCAAAAACCCUUUCGGUCUUAAGUUAGCAGCAUCUUCAGCACUUUAACCCGUAAUCCAACUGUUAUGGCAGAUUCUUUUUACUGGUUAUUUUGAUGAGCAGUCUCUGCAUCUGGCAAACUCCACUCUGCUCUGUGUUUGUGGUGACGAUUGCAUUUCUACUGAAGUCGUCCAAUCUGGAGUAUAUCGCUGUUACUUACCUCCACAUUCCCCUGGAUUAGUUAACCUUUGUCUCAGUUUGGAUGGCUGUAAACCACUCAGCCAAAUUGUGAGUUUCGAGUACCGCGAGUCUGCACAUAAUGGUGAUGAUGUGGUUUCAAAAGACGAAAGCUCCACGUGGGAACGAUUUCAUCUCCAAACACGGCUUGCUUAUUUGCUUCUAUCUACUUCCAAGACCCUCAACCUGCUACGUAGUAAGGUGUCCCCAAGUAACCUGAAGGAGGCUGAUAAGUUCGCCAUCAGAACCACCAACAUUACCCGUAGCUGGUCAUAUUUGUUUGCGUUGAUUGACGAGAACAGAAUUUCACUGACACAAGCCAAAGAAGACGUGUAUGAAAUUACUUUGAAGAGCAUAUUGCAGGAGUGGCUCUUGGAAAGAGUCGUUGAAGGCUGUAGUAAAUCCUCGGAAUACGAUGCUGAAGGUCAAGGAGUUAUCCACUUGUGUGCUAGACUUGGAUAUACUUGGGCUAUUUAUUUAUAUUCAUGGUCAGGUUUAUCUCUAGAUUUCCGUGACAAACAUGGAUGGACUGCACUUCACUGGGCUGCAUAUUACGGAAGGUAUGGCCCUUCUAAAUUCGUCUUAUUACCUUGGCAUUUGUUAUGUUGAUUUCGUUCCCAAGCAUCCAAUUUAACUUGCAAGGGAUAUGCUGUAAUCAUAGUAGUAGUUAAACUCGCGAUUUUGAUCAUCAAUAUAAAUUCAGGGGACAAAGUGGAAUCGUGAAUCGAUUUCACCGAUUAAAAAACUUUUUCUUUCAAUUCCAUCUAAUUCCGAUUUUUUAAUGGAAUUAAAAUCGUUAGGCCUAAGUAACAUCAUAAAUUACUUUUAUGAUGUUACUUAGGCCUAACGAUUUUAAUUCCAUUAAAAAAUCGGAAUUAGAUGGAAUUGAAAGAAAAAGAUUUUUAAUCGGUGAAAUCGAUUCACGAUUCCACUUUGUCCCCUGAAUUUAUAUUUUUCCCAGACCACGAUUCCACUCGAUUCCAAUGGAUUCUACUCGAUUUCACCCGAUUCCACCUGAUUGUUACUUGUAAUGUACAGCUUUCAGUUCUCUCUAACAUUGCCAAGUCCCACCAUAUUCAGGGAGAAAAUGGUGGCAGGUCUAUUAUCGGCAGGGACAAAACCGAACUUGGUUACCGACCCAACUGCGGAAAACCCCGGUGGACUUACUCCCGCCGAUGUUGCAACUCAGACAGGGCACGAAGGCUUGGCAGCUUAUCUAUCCGAAAAAGCUCUAGUAUCACAUUUCAACGAUAUGUCCAUAGCGGGAAACGUCUGCGGUGCAUUACAACCCACCGAACCCAUAAUUGGUGCUGAAAACCUGAGCGAGGAAGAGCUCUACCUAAAAGAUACUUUGGCCGCUUACCGGACGGCAGCUGAUGCUGCCUCUCGUAUACAGGAAGCGUUCAGGGAGCGAUCGAUGAAGUUACAAGCCAAAGUAGUUGAAAGUUCAAACCCGGAGGCUGAAGCACGGAGCAUAGUUGCUGCGAUGAAGAUUCAACAUGCUUUCCGUAACUACGAGUCCAAGAAGAAGAUGGCAGCUGUUGCUCAAAUCCAGCAUAGGUUCAGAACUUGGAAAAUGCGGAGAGAGUUCCUCACUCUCCGCCGUCACGCCAUUAAAAUUCAAGUAAGCUUUUGUUUGAUUUUUUUAUCGUUGUUGGUUGGCCUUUAUUACCUAAGUCAUGAUCCUUAGACACUACUAAAAUCAAGAUUGGAAUUUUAACUACAUUGGAAACUAGUAACUAGUUUGAGUAAAACCCAAUUUGACUUUCAAGUUGUCCCUCUGACCACUGUGGCUUUCUUCUAUUGGCAUUUCACCAAGCAAAAGCAAAAAACUUGUUUAUCCGAUCGCAGGCGGCAUUCAGGGGCUUGAGAGUGAGGAAGCAUUACAGCAAGAUCCUCUGGUCAGUCGGAGUGGUCGAGAAAGCAGUCCUACGGUGGCGUCUCAAGAGAAAAGGCCUCCGCGGGCUUAAAGUGAACGACGCGAUCCAAGUAGACGAGCAGCAGCAGACAAGCGACACAGAAGAGGAAGAAGGAUUCUUCAAAGCCAGCAGAAAACAGGCGGAGGAGCGGGUGGAGAGAGCCGUUGUAACAGUUCAAGCUAUGUUCCGUUCCAAGAAGGCUCAAGUCGAGUAUCAAAGGAUGAAAUCGGCAUAUAACCAAGCCUCGGUAUGUGUUCAAACACUGAACCAUGACAAUGAUUUCGCCAACUUGCAUUCCCUUCUGUUUUUAUUAGGGGUUUGGUUAGAUAACUCAAUUAACCGGCCAACUUUUGUCAGGUAAGCGGUAAGCUAAAAUAAUUUGGUGGGUUAAUUAGUUAAGGAUUUGAAUUUUUUUAACUUGACUAUCUUUAUAUUUAUAUCUAUUUUAACCAAAAUCAACUGUAACCGAAGGUUGUUUAGUUGACGGUUAAUCAACCUAUUCUUUUAUACAAUCGAAUGUAGCCGCGUGGUCGGUUUAACCACUAGUUUUUAUCCAAUCUGAUAUCAAUUUUUCCUCUGGGCUGUAGCUGGAAUAUGAAGGUCUUCUUUCAUUCCCAAACUGACGGAACCAACGAACGAAGCAGGUAAUCUGCAUCCGCCAGGGCCACUUAAGGUACAUUUCUCUUCUGCCGAGUGGUUAGCCUCUACAUGAUGCAUUAUUAAGCUAAAGAUUAACAUUUAGAAAUAUAUUUGUGCAGUUUUCGCUUAGCUCUUUAGACUUUAGGUUUGUAAUAAAUAAAUAAAAACUAUAUACGUAUGAUAUAUUGAAAAAUUGUUGACGUAUAAAUGUGCGACUGCGUUCGUAUACUAUACAGUAUCAUCCGUUUUACGGAAUUCCAGCAUGCUACAAUCCUAAUCCGACGUCCGGCGGCUUUCGGUUGAACUGAAAGUCGCAGCCGUCGGAUUUUCCGUCCCGAUCCUUCGUCAAUAAAACCUCUGGUGUUUAUGAUUCAUUCACCCCAACUCCGCAAACGGCAGCUGAGGACCCUUUUGCCCGAGUUCUCUACAUUAUUUACCAUAGUAGUCAACCUGGCUCAUUGUUCAAUCUGUUCAUCUGUUGAGGCCGGUCUAAUGCCAUUAGGUUCCUCAUUCUUUGCUCAAUCUGUUCAUCUAUUGUCAAGCAACCCCCCCCCCCCCCCCCCCCCCACACGUCCCCCCCCCCCCCCCCCUGCACCUGUGGCUGCCGACGCCAGCUCCAAUGAUGAUUAAAUCGUAAUCAAAAUGACUUGAGAGAGACUGCCAUUGCCUCCACCAAGGAAAGCGGAAAGCUCCCUGGAGCAAAGCAAAUUAGCUUAUAGAGCGGGAAGUCACUUUUGAAAGACCUCAGGGCUUCUUUAGAAGGCGGAGGAGGAAGAAUUUGCAAAGCUUUGAGAACUCCGGCAAGAAGGUCGACAGAGUCUACCGUCUUGCGUUUUCACCCGCCAUUGUUUCCAGUAUUCCUCUGCUUUUUACUGCUUUUUAAAUAAAAUUCUAUGGGGGGGUGUAAUAAAAAUGACCUCAGGGCUUCUUUAGAAGGCGGAGGAGGAAGAAUUUGCAAAGCUUUGAGAACUCCGGCAAGAAGGUCGACAGAGUCUACCGUCUUGCGUUUUCACCCGCCAUUGUUUCCAGUAUUCCUCUGCUUUUGACGGCUUUUAAACGACAUCGUUAGGGCGGAGUCUAAUAAAAUUCGGCCUAAAAUUAAUGGGCCAGGACGGCAACUCAGCCACACAUCUGGACUAGGGCCUAUCCAGCACGUCCCGGUAUUUUACGGAGGUUCUUUCGGAGGGUGCGAGCUUCGACCGGGUUUCGAGGCUUUUUACAAAUAAGGCCGACCCGAGUCACCCGACUCCUAUUCGGCCCAUAAAUUGUAUACCUCUCCAGCGACGACGCCGCAUAUUUUCCGUUGGGCCUGUACGUGGUUUGACCCGACCCACCCAAAAAGGACCGACCCGGAUCGUUUCACGCGCGAUUGAAUAUCACUUGCUUAUUCUGCGAGUGGGGGUUGUUAUUAUGCCCGUGUGACGCACGCGCGAGGUUAUACUGCACGCGUACUGUUUCUUGCCCGGUUCUCCUUUUUUAUGGACACCUCUGCCUCUCAAACAAAGAGGAUACAGUAGAGACUAAAUAUAUCUGAGUCUGACCGGAGAAAGAGAAGGAGAUAGAUGCACUUGGUUGAUGCAUUUGGUUUGGUUUAGGUUGAAUCAAAUCGGUUUAAUAUGUUGGAUAAUUAGAGCAGUGAAACGGUCGAUUUGGUUGAGUUACUAACUGGGAGUUAAUCAAAUCACGACACGUUAGUUCUAGCUAGUUGAAUUUAGCUCGAGAUUGAGAGCUUCGGCGAUUUGGAUCCAUUUCCAAAGCUUCGCGAUCCCGAUCGUUCAGCAGUUUGGACGCCACGACGAUGUUCCUCUUCGACUGGUUCUACGGAGUUCUGGCAUCUCUCGGGCUAUGGCAGAAAGAGGCCAAGAUCCUCUUCUUAGGCCUUGACAAUGCCGGCAAGACUACCCUCCUCCACAUGCUCAAAGACGAGGUUCGAUCUUUUUCCUCUCGCUCGCUUUUUUCCAUCGGAUCGGAAUUUGAGGAAUUGACUCGAUCGGUAUGAAUUUGCAGAGACUAGUGCAACAUCAGCCUACGCAGCACCCGACGUCGGAGGAGCUGAGUAUAGGGAAGAUCAAGUUCAAGGCCUUUGAUUUAGGCGGCCACCAGAUCGCGCGCCGAGUCUGGAAAGACUACUAUGCCAAGGUGUGUGAUUAUGUUUAUGAAAAGAGUUUUGAUUUAGCGUCUUCUAUGAGUGUGCACGCCGCCUGUUUGAUUGAUUGCCAUUUUUUUGCUGAUUGAUUGAUUCUGCAAAAUUAAGCAUGAUAGCCUUGCUCCUUAUCAAUCUAUGCUUUGUAGUUCUGGGAAUAGUGUAUUGAUUCUGAGAUUCCAUGUUCAAAGGAGUUCCCGAGCUGUAUUACGGGAUUUUUUGGUAUCUAUCCCGAUAUAUCCAGUGGCAUAGCCAGCAUUUCCAGCUAAAUAAUUUCAAACUUAGAUAGACAUGCAUAGAUGGUUCAAACUUAUGAUCGUAGUUCACAUUUCAUAGAUAAUCCUGAUAUGAAGAAUCAUACGUGAAGUAGAUAAUUCUCAUAUGAUGAUAUCACCUUAAAUGUUUCUAGGAGAUGUUCUAUUAGUAGAUCUCCUUUAUAAUAGUAGAUCUCCUCCAUGCACAUACAAACUUCAGCUCAACCACUGUUCUUUUUUCAUUCGUUCAAUCUUCCAUCCCGUAUGAAGCUAAUUCUCAGCUAUACUUCUUGAGUUAUGCGACUUUUCCCUUAGCUAGCAUUUGGUGAGCUCAUUAUACUCGUUGAAUUAUGUGAUUUUUCGCUAGCUAUAUCUAACAUCUUCUGUAAAGCUAGUUCUUUUAGCUCAACCUGCACCAUACCCGUUAGUUAUGUGACUUUCGACUAGCUAGCGUUCAGUAAUUGAUCAAGAACCGCACUUUACCUGAAAUCAUGGCUGCACAUUUUUUCUCAACAGGUGGAUGCAGUGGUCUACCUUGUGGAUGCAUACGAUAAGGAGAGGUUUGCAGAGUCCAAGAAGGAGUUGGACGCACUCCUAUCGGACGAAUCCUUGGCCAGCGUCCCAUUUCUAAUUCUCGGAAACAAGAUCGAUAUCCCUUACGCAGCCUCCGAGGACGAGCUCCGGUACCAUCUAGGGCUCAGCAAUUUCACUACCGGGAAGGGGAGAGUGAAUCUUGCGGACUCCAACGUCCGGGCCCUCGAGGUUUUCAUGUGCAGCAUUGUGCGCAAGAUGGGUUACGGCGAUGGUUUCAAGUGGCUAUCUCAGUACAUCAAGUAGUAGCGACAAAGAGUUUUUCUGGGCUGCCUUUAUGGAGUAUGAAUCAGUCUGUCAUUUUUGCUACAGUUAGAUAUGGAAGAAUGGAAUUCUUUGUUGUUGUUGUUGUUGUUGUUGUUGUUGUUGGUAAAGAUGGACAAUUGAGUUAUUAUUAUACAACUUGAACUUAGAACUGAGCUAGUGUGGGGAAAGGAUAGUGGGUAGAGGUGAGAAUUCUGUUCAAUUUAUGGUCAGACCGGUCAUAAUUCAGUGUCUAUAUAUGAGUUGUGGCUGAAGUUUUAUUGUAAGCCUGUGCUUACUUCAAUCAUUGAGCUCGCAGCUUUUAGGGAACGGUCGACACUGUCGACGAUAUUUUCGAACUUCUUGUUUCGGUUGGAGCUAUCUAAUAUCUAUACAUCUCACUUAACGUCAAACCUCUCACUUAAUAAAUUGUUGCACGACAUCAUCCAUGUUGACCUUAAACCAAAGAGGGGAUAAGAUAUCGGAGGAAUCAAAUAAGACCAAGUACUAUAAUUAAAUAAAAUAUAUCAAUAUGCAUGUUUAAUAUUAACGGGUCCGGCCAGUUAAACUGAUAGGUCCAACUGAUAUACUUUUAGGAGGCGGCCAGUUAAACUGAUAGGUCCAACUGAUAUACUUUUAGGAGGCCGGUUCUCGAUGCCGCUCGGCCAGCCGUCGGAUUUCCAAAACAAUCUAAGACUAACAUAAGGGGAAGAUGAAAACUCUAGAGCGACGUUGACCAAUGACCCAUUGUCAACAUUUAUUAAUAUUUUAUUCAUUUUUGUCUUAUGUUAUUAUAUAAACAUAGAGCGAACCGCCAACCGUUUGGAAAACUUGACUAUGAUGUUUAACUUUAGCUUAAACAUAGAGCUACUGCCCUAUCACUUAGCAAAGCUCACAAAAAUUCCAUAGCUAGCUCACACUUUCGUCUUCAUCCAUGGCGGAAAAAGAUUACGAUGUUCAAGCUCGAACUCUUGGCGAAUUCUGGUCCGAAAGGAGGAGGAAUAUUAAUAAGAUUCCAGCGAUGUCCUGAAAAAUCACGGCAAGAGAUCAUCAUCAUCAUCCACCAUGAUCAACUUCUUGUCCUCCGCCCGCGGCAAGUCCCGUCAGGCGCCGCCGCUAUCCAUCAUGGAAACGAUCAAUCUCGCCGCCACAAAGAUCCCCCAAUGCCCCAACAACUCAGCCCACGCCAACUCAGCCCAGGUAGGAAAUAUAGCAAUGAAAAAAACCCUGUAAAUUAUUCUCGUGUUUUUAUCAAGUUUUUGUUACCUAAAUUAGAAAUUAUGUCAAUUUCGGUAAAUCUUGUGCAAAGAUUGGAAAUAAUAUUGGGAUUCAAAAUACUGUUUCGCUUUUAAAAGUUUUGAUAUAUUAAAAAUUAUUGUACUUCGAUAAAUUAAAUUAUUGAAAAAGCGUCCAAAUUUAUUUUUAUAUUAUUUAUUAACAAGAAUCAUUAUACCAUAAUAACUCAAAUGGUUGGAAGAUAUUUUAAGUUUGAUUUUAUGUUAUUUAUUGAGAUGUUUCUUCAGAUAAACAUAAAUUUUUGUAAGAAUAUGAAGUUUUCGCCAAUUCAAUAAAUCUUGUGCGACGAAUUGAAUGCUUAUAUCAGGAUUAGAAAGUUAAACUAUGAUAUAUUUUUAUUAAUAAAAGUUUUUGAUAUUAUGUCAAGAAUAUAAUUGAGAGAUAAAUUAAAUGUUAGUUUUAUAUUAUGAACGUUGCAGGUGAGCAUUCCUUCCUUGUUAAAUGUCCCUUUUGACCGUUCCAUCUCCGGAGUUUCGUUCCACGACCAGAAGAACGUGGAGCUCGUCGAAUACCUUCUUUCCUCUGCCGACCGCGUCGCCAACAACCGCUGCGACGAAGCCUCCGCCUUGAUCGAUCUCUGCGACCACUUGUCUUCCCCCGCCGGGAACCCAGUCCAGAGAACCGUCCACUCUUUCGCCAGAGCUCUCCGCGAAAGGGUCGCCGGAGAAACCGGCAGCGAUCAGAGUACUUGUACUAACAACUUGUUCGACGACGACGUUUUAAGGCUACCGAGUCCUUCAAUCCUUUUGUUUGUCCACGAGCGGUUCCCUUACUUCCGGAUGCAACAGUUGGCGACCGUACAACCCAUGGCGGAAUCAGCCGCCGCCGCCAGAAGGAUUCACUGCAUCGAUUUGAAUAUCAAGUCGGGGCUCCACUGGACCGGGUUCAUGCAGGCAUUGGAGACCCAAGCCGAUAAUUACAAGCUCGAUUUAUUAAAGGUGACUGCGCCUGUGUGGGUCCCGUCGAGCCGUCGAAGCCACAGGGGAGUGGUUGACCAAUUUCGCCCGGUCAAAGAAAGUCAACUUCUGGUUUAAAAUAGUCAGAGUCGAUGAUGUGGCGGAGCUCGAUGAGAAAAUGUUCGGAGUAGAAGAGAAAGAAGCGGUAUUGGUCUAUUCGGAGCAUUCAUUCGCCACCAUGCUGGGUAAACCAGACCGGAUAGAGGCUCUUAUGUUAGCGGUCAGGCGGUUGAACCCGCAACUCAUGGUCGUGACCGAAAUGGAUGGGAACCAAAACGCGAGCCACUUCGGGACCAGGUUCGUGGAGGCGUUGUUCAACUACGGCGCCGCUUUCGACAGUGUGGAGGCCUGCGUCGGGAGGGAGGAUGACGUGAGAAGGAGGGCGAUGAUGGGGAGGAUGAUAGGGAACGUGGUGGCGUGUGAAGGACGGGAGCGAGUGAUUCGAGGUGUGAGGCUAAAGGUCUGGAGAGCGUUCUUCAAAAGUAAUAGUUACUGCGUUGAAAUUCAUCUAACUGCGGUUAAUUAAUUCUAUUAAUAUAAGCGAUGUUGUCAAUUACAACUUUACAAGUCAACGAUUUUAAACGUUUCGAUGGGGACAAAUUGAUUAUAGUUACCUCGGCACAGUAAACUCUGCAUCUGUGUCCGAUGUAUUUAUACAACUAUCAUGGCAGUUAAUGAAUUAUAUUGAUGGACUCAGGCCCAUCGGCAUGCUCUCUCACACAGCCCCGGCCUAGGCAAUCCAUCUCUAACGACCCAGAUCUGCAUCCACCUACUCUCCCACUCACACGCGAAAGCCGGAAUCAUGCCACAAUGGCCGUAUAAAACGCUCAUCAUCCUCUACAUUUAAGAGAAAAAUAUAAGUACACAACUCUCGAUAACUUUUCCAAACCUUCUAUAUGCCGAGGUAAUGUCCGAAAAAACACAAAUACUUCUAGACCUAGGUCCAUAUACCACAUAUAAACAUAAUUCACUCUCGCAAUCAAAUGAAUCGAAAUCCCGAAAUAUCAUAUAGGAUACAAGGAAUCACAUCGAUAAUCCCAAGGCUUCAUCCUCUUUGUGCUUCCUCAAACGAGCAAACUUCCAACUAGAAAUGGAAAUCAUAGGAGUGUCCUUCCAACCCAAAAUCAAGCUCUUCCCAUCAACAUACAGUUUACAGAACCUUCUACUAGGAAACCUCUUUAGUACCAGUUUCGCCUGGUACAGUACCACAGCACUCAAUUUGGACUCCACCAAUGAAAACCUAGCCAACAAUGUCCUCCAAACAUCAAUCCUCACAUUCCUAAACCCUCUCUCUUCCCCUUCCUUCGCCACAACGUUACUUAUCGCCUCCCUUAACCCCACCGAUUCGACCACCAUCCUGCUCUCGAAAUCCUGACCCUCCAUACAGCAGUCCAGGCAGUCAAAAACCGCAGAGUACGAGAACAGGGCCUCCACAAACCGAUGGGCAAACGUCCGGGAAUUGUGAUUCGCUUCCACCUCUAGGACCACCACGAUCCGCGGAUUGAAAUUCCGCAAUAGUUUCAUAAGUGCUUCCAUGCUGUCGGGGGUUGCGAUCCGGUUGCUCAGGUAUCCUUCUGUGUAGACCGCGAGCGCUUCCCUUGGAUCAAUGUCGAACAUUUCCGGUUGGAGGUCGAGGAGGUCUGGUGAGCCGGCCAUUACGAUCUUGAAAUCAAAAGGGACGUUUAUCGACCUAGCGAAACUCGUUAGUCGUCUGCCGGUUUCUUGUAUCUGGUCCUUGGAAUCGUUUGUUCCGAGGGCAGUGAUCUUUAGAAGCUCGGUCGUGCGGUCCGGUCUCGAUGCAAGAGCUUGCAUCAUGGCCGUCCAUUGAAGUCCAUAUCUGAUCUGGACAUCGAUGACGUGGAUUCGCUUGGAGUUGCCCAAAUUUUCCAACAGGAUCUGGAUUGCAGACAAGUGAGCAACUUGGUAGAAGGGUACAUUUUCGUGCAAGGAUUGGAGAAGAUAGCUUGGAAUCUGUUAAGAUAAAAAUCAAAGUGUUAAGAUAAAAAUCAAAGUGGAUUAAACAAGGUAAUUACUAUUCGUCGCCCUAAAAUAGAUAAAAUGACUGAAAUAUCCUCAUUCAAAAAAUAGCGGCACCGCGCCGGACAGAUGCCGAACCCAUCUCCGGCAAGGUUCAAACGGGCUGCGGGUCCAUUUGGACUUCGUCGGCGUCCAUCCGCCUGAAGGAGAAGAAUGGGUGGUAGUCCGGUCGCAGCACAAACUAUAAUUAGAAUUUUGGUGCAGUUUUUCGUUAUAAUCACUAACUACUAACCAAUUCCACUCACAUUUCCCAACAGAAUCAUCCCGGGAGCCUCUUCCACCCCGGUAACUCGACCCUUCCCCAAUUCGCGAUCGAUCCUUGUACGGAGAGCUUCUGAGAAGUAGUAGACGACUCGCUGUACAGGGUCCCCUGUUUGGGAAGACAAGCAGUCACAGAGGUCGAGCAGAUUGGCCGCGAGAUCGUGGCGCUGGUUGCCGACUUUUUCAGCCGCGGCGAGGAGGUACUCGACGAGCUCCACUCUGAUAGCAUCCUGACAGGAAAUUCCUGACGAAGGGGAGAGAUCGAAAGGAUUGUUCAUAAGAGAAGGCAGGUCGAUUGUGUGGGUCGACGAUGAAGUACUCAUACUAAUUAUCCUCCUCGCUGCCACCCUCAGGAUUUCGUUCGUAGACAGUACUUCUUCAUCUCCGGCCGGCAGUUCGGACGGCUUAGUACUGUUGCUUGAUUCUGCGGCGGUGCUUUCGCUGCCAGUGUUCACGCUGUUGGCUGCGGCCAUUUGUUUGGGAAGUGUGGGUGAAGAAGGGCCAUUUGUUUCUUUUUAUAGUAAUUAAGGCGUGAAUCUAGAAGAUUUUGGUUUUGGUUGGAUUAGCUUUUAUACUUCUUCAGUUCUUCUAUAUAUAUAAAUAAAUAAAUAUAAAUACAAAAGAGUGAUUUGGCUUCACUCGGGUUGAAACUAAAAAUUUUCAGGAUAUUAGAUUAAUAUGAUAAUCAAUUACAUUUACGAAAUUAUUUACAACUUAAUGUUAGAGUUAUCAGAAAGUUGAUUUGAUUUAAUCAAAUUUUAAACUUGAUCAAUUUCGAAGUUGUCAAGGUCGAUCAAAUUUAUGAUCCAAAUGGCUUAUAAUAACCCAUCAAACUGAAAAAAAAUUAGAUUAAAAACAAAUGAUCAAAUUAAACCGUAAUUCCCACUUAAUCCGCGAACCAAUUAACCCAACAUUUACACCGUGAAAAUUAAACUACAUUGUUAGAACUUCUUAAGCUGUGAAGUAGGAAUCAAGAUUGGUUGUCCCAAAAACUAAACGGCUUGUGAUUCUCGCCGGAAGAAGAUUGGAAGUUUGUCGGAGUCCAGUGAAUCAUGAACAAUGGAGACAAGGAGUCAGAAUAUUGCCGAUUGAAGCAUAUGAAAUUCAUUGAUUCGUCGAUCGGCGCUGGCAAAAGGAAUUCAACGAUUUGUUUAUGAUAAUUAAUUCAACUGAUCUUGUUGAUUAAGUAAGUUUCAUUUCUAGAAACCACAAUUGGAUUUUACCGCCCAGCCGCGGAGCACCCUUGUGGAUCGGACUGUAGCGCAAUCGGCAUAUUAUUUUGACUUUCGAUCGUUUCAUGACGUCCAGAUUACGUUAGCGUGAUGAAAUUUUGGGGGUGGGGUAUUUGACUUUUUUUAUUAAUUUGGACGGUUCAGAUUAGAGGGGCGCCUUCCACUGCCGUUGGAUCGUCCGAAACUUACAACUCGUUAUAAAAUCUUGGCAUGACCUCAUCGUAGGUUUGUUGGGCAGUGGCCAACGACGACGGUGUCUUUGGACAGUGAACGAAGGCGUAUAAUGAAUUAUAAGAUCAUACUAUUGGUUUUAGGCUUUUCGUUGGAUGAUCGGGUUGAAAAACAAAUGAUAGAACCAGUAUAUAUGGCGAACCAUCAUUUACGAGAUUACCGUUAAUUAGUAAAUAAUAUAAAAUCAAUGAUGGACUCCUCUCCAAAGACUAGAGAUGGCAAUUGGUAAUGGGCAAGUUUGGGGAGGGAGCCUCAUCCCCAACCCAUUUUUCAAUUUUGUACCUAUUCACAUGUCGAUAUUAAUAUUCAUUUUCGAAUUUAUACCACUAUCGUCCAUCCCCACCUUGUUUUCAAUAGGUUUUCAACGAAUUUGUUAGUGUCCUCACGAUGAUUAAAGAGUUAAAUCUAUCGGACAGUUUCAAUAGGUUAUUAUCUAGAUGGUACAUUGAGCUUUUGUUAGUGUUUGUUCUUCUUUUUUUAUGAUACAUUGUGUUUUAAAAAUAUUUUGUCAUUUGAUUACGUAAUGUUGAUUUGAAUUUAAUUUUUUUGAAACGCAAACUUGAAAACACAGCAGCACAGUUUUGAUAAUAUUCAAUAUUUGUGUCCUGAACUUGUUUUCGAUUAUGAUUUUUUUUUUCAUAGUUUUUUAUUAUGACUAUUGAAGUUAAUAUUUGGUGGUGCUGGUUGUACUUUCAAUUUUAAAUGGGGACAUAUAUUUNNNNNNNNNNNNNNNNNNNNNNNNNNNNNNNNNNNNNNNNNNNNNNNNNNNNNNNNNNNNNNNNNNNNNNNNNNNNNNNNNNNNNNNNNNNNNNNNNNNNNNNNNNNNNNNNNNNNNNNNNNNNNNNNNNNNNNNNNNNNNNNNNNNNNNNNNNNNNNNNNNNNNNNNNNNNNNNNNNNNNNNNNNNNNNNNNNNNNNNNNNNNNNNNNNNNNNNNNNNNNNNNNNNNNNNNNNNNNNNNNNNNNNNNNNNNNNNNNNNNNNNNNNNNNNNNNNNNNNNNNNNNNNNNNNNNNNNNNNNNNNNNNNNNNNNNNNNNNNNNNNNNNNNNNNNNNNNNNNNNNNNNNNNNNNNNNNNNNNNNNNNNNNNNNNNNNNNNNNNNNNNNNNNNNNNNNNNNNNNNNNNNNNNNNNNNNNNNNNNNNNNNNNNNNNNNNNNNNNNNNNNNNNNNNNNNNNNNNNNNNNNNNNNNNNNNNNNNNNNNNNNNNNNNNNNNNNNNNNNNNNNNNNNNNNNNNNNNNNNNNNNNNNNNNNNNNNNNNNNNNNNNNNNNNNNNNNNNNNNNNNNNNNNNNNNNNNNNNNNNNNNNNNNNNNNNNNNNNNNNNNNNNNNNNNNNNNNNNNNNNNNNNNNNNNNNNNNNNNNNNNNNNNNNNNNNNNNNNNNNNNNNNNNNNNNNNNNNNNNNNNNNNNNNNNNNNNNNNNNNNNNNNNNNNNNNNNNNNNNNNNNNNNNUAAAUGGGGACAUAUAUUUGAGUUGGUGUCUAAAUCAGUGUAUUUCAUUGUUAGUACGUACUGUUUUAAUGUAAAGUACAUUGAACGAAAACUGUGAAAUUAGAAAGAAACUUUUUUUCAAGCGUGAAAUUGAAAAUUACGUAAACAGUAAAGUUAAAAUUUAAAUUAUAAAAAUAACAAUUACGGAAACUUAUGGUACACCGCACAUCUAGACGCCAUGCACGCGGUCCCACACACAUUUCAAAAGUUGCAUUAUUAGAUUUAUUUCACCAAACUAAUUUUUUGUUUUAACUCCCAAUCUUUUGUAUAAUUACAAUUUAAUCACUCAAUUAGUUAAUGAAAUGCGGUUAAUUGAAACUCCAUUUUUGCUGUGUUAACUUAACGUCAAAUGGUUACAAAAUUGGUUAAAAUGCACUAAACCAGUUAAAAUAUGAGAUCAAUCCGUAUCUGGGCUAAACUCGAAUUAACCAUAAUAAAUUUUAAAUUGAACGAUUGCGAAUAUUUAAAAUAUGUACUUUCCAUCAAGUUUUUAAAGUACCGGUACCAACCGCAGUGAUCUUGAGAAGCUCGAUUGGACGGCUCUCCCAUCUCGAUGCCAGAGCUUGCAUCAUGGCCGUCCAUUGAAGUCCGGUACGGAUCUGGAGGUCGAUGACAUGGAUCCGUUUCGAACUCCCCACGUUUUCGAGGAGUAUCUGAAUUCCUGACAUCUGGACGACCGCCCGGAACGGUAUUUUCUCUUGAACAGAUUGGAGUAAUCGGAGAGGAACCGUUGUUAAUGCCUUCUCCGCAUUGGGAUCGCUAACCAUUUCGGGUCGAUUAUUGCAGUUUCUGGUCGGAUCGGAAUGAUCGACCCGUUUGCGUAGGGCUUGGGAGAAGUAGUACACGAUUCUCUGGAUAGGGUCCCCUGUUUUGGAAGACAAGCAGUCGCAGAGGUUUAGCAAAUGGAUUGCUUCCUGGUGGUCGUGAGUUCUGUUGUUGCCGACUUUUUCGGCGGGCGCCAUGAGAUAUUCAACGAGCUCAACUCGGAUGGCGUCCUGAUAGGAGAGUCCUGACGGGGAACUGAGAUCAAAAGGGUUGUUCAUUAGUGAAGAAAGGUCGAUUGAAUUUGAAGAGGAGCUUAUGCUCAUGAUCCUUCUUGCAGCUAUUCUCAGGAUUUCGGGCGUGGACAAUUCUUGUGUCAGCUGAAAUUCUUCCGGUCGUACUCUGUCGACGGCGGCCAUUUUUUCAGGUGAGUUCUUGGAAGGAGAGGGGAAAAUCGAGAGAGGAUUGUUUGGUGUUUUUUCCAAGUUCAGUUACUUUGAGCUCGUCCCUCUCUAUUUAUCCUUGGUAGGAACCGAAAUGGACCAAACAACCGGUUGGACCAUACAUAUGAUGAGCCGUCUACGGUCUAUUAAUUUGGUAUGUUCGAAACGUUUGUCAAAAACUAUUUGAGUUGAUGUCAUGAAACUAUAAAAACCUCUAAAAUCGUUCGAUUUGUUCAUACACACUUUUACUUUUUAACGAUAUCCUCUUCGCCAAUAACAUAUAAAUCACAUAAUAUUAAUUCAGACCGCAUAUCCUCCUUCCGAUCCAUCAAUUAUUUAUGAACCAGAACCCCUCCGUGCCGUGUAGUGCAUGUAUGGAAUCGUUGUGUACAUAGCACACUGUAGCUUUUAAGGAAUCAAAGAUGGCAAUAUUUAAUUUUGGUUUAUUGAUCGAUGCUUUUACCAAAAGCUUUUAAUCAGCUAACGUUUCCUACUCGUAUAUUGCAUGCGGAAAUUCCAAUAAAUAAUAGAAAUUACGUUUUCUUGUAUUAUCGCCAUAGGUUGGACAAGAUAACCAAAUUGUUACAGGUUAAAUAAGUAAGAGAUAUUCCGGCUAUUGUUAAUAAAUAAGUUACCCGUAUGUUACAGCUCAAUAGAUAAGUGACCAAAACAUUUAUUUACCCAUAAAACUCGGAAAACCGCGGGACGAUAAUUACUUUCCCCAAUGAUUUCCCCGGUUUAGGGAUGAUAAUUCAUAAUUCUCAUUUUUAAAUUUCAAUGGUAGCGAGCUCCAGCCGAUCACCUCCCUUCCACGGCGGCGCUGCUCCGUUCCGGUCCAGGUUCGUCUAUCUCUCUGUCUUCGGAUUUCCUUGUUUCUCUGUUUUAGAUAGUUGAUCCAUCAUGGAAGCAAAAAUUGAUGUCGAUAUAUUUUGUAAAUGUCAAAACCGCUCUCAGUGAUGGACUCAGUACGAGGCAGGCGGCAUGCUCGGACGAAAUACAGCUGCGGAUUGAUCCGAUGAGCUCCGAUUUCGACGACGAGAUAAGCAGUCUCCGUUCUCAAGUCAGCCAGCUCAGGAAUGUAAGGUUUUAUUUUCCUCUAAUUGAAUUCAGUUAGCUGCCAAUUGAUAGUUACUAGCUUGUUUGGUUUGAAAUUUCGGUCCAGAGUUCUUGAUACGUGAAGAGCAGAACGAAUAAUGCUCUAUAACUGUAUUUCGCCUUUGAAGAAUCUAAUUCACGAUUCAAGUAGAAUCGAAAUAGUCCUUUUGAUGAGAUUAUUCAGUGUCGUACCAAUUCGCCUUUGUUUCUGCUGAAUCAUUUGGAGUGGUUACUUACUUAUUCUUGUGGAUGCAGGUGGCUCAGGAGAUAGAGACGGAAGCAAAAUUCCAGAAUGAUUUUGUAGAUCAGUUGGUAUGCUAUUUGUCAAAGUUCCAUCAAUUGUUUGUUUCUUCAGCAUAUGUCUGUCCUUCCUUUAGGGUUCAUGUUGAGUGAUGCUUGAUUAUGUGCUUUGGUAAUCUAAACUCUCUGUGCUGUUAGCAAUAGAACUUCAAUUUAUCAUGGCAAGGAAGUGAUUAAUGUGCUGAAAUCAUCUAAGAUCACUGCAUGAUAUUUAUCGUUUAGGAUGUGGAAACAGUAUCUGUUUGGGUUUGUGAAAACCGGUGCAUUUAAUUUUAACAAUGUCAUGAAGUAGAAAAGAGUCACGAAGUACAUUCAAACGUAAUAGAUACAGAGAAAUCUGAUGAGGGGAAUUCCAUUUAUCUGAUUGAUUGGCAGCAAAUGACGGUGAUCAAAGCUCAAGCAAGAACAACAUAAGGAAACUAAACAUGAGCAUGGUUAAGAACGGAUCGAACCAUAUAGUGCAAGUAGUUCUCUUCGCACUCUUCUGCUUCGUCAUGGUCUACCUAUGGUCCAAGGUAUCCAGAAGAUGACUAUAAACUCUAUAAUCUGUAUCUAUGUUUUGUAUGAUACAAAUCACUGGUUCUUAUUUUCUCCAUACACCAGAUUUUAGCAGAUGCAGCCAUCAUCCGAGCUGGUAUGUGAAAUCGUCUUUUCCCCAUCUUUUAUCUUUCUAGCGCUAACUUGAUUGAUCACCCUUCUUGCCCAUUCCGUCAAAUGUGUCUCGUUAUGGCCCACCCGACCAUCUUUAUAGAAGAAGAAACAUUCCAGCUUAUUCUCAGGUUUCGGGCAUUCAAGCUUCGAAAGAGGCUCCCACCACGAUCCCCGGUGGAUCAUCCCGGAUUGACCAGCCAUCCAGUGGAAGACAUACUGACCGAUUCCGCCCAGCUCGAACCAUCCCUUCGGGAAAAACUCCAUCACGCUGCUCCCUCGGUCCAUGAACAUCAUGUUCGUCAACUGAGCUCCAUGUGGCGAUGCCACAAUAUCCGUUUCCGUCAUUGUCCUUACUUGGUCACAGAAGCUUCUUAGUUCCUCCGACUGAACUACUUUCAGAACACAGCCUUCGAUUUUCGCACAUUCCUUGGCGAAUAUCUCGCUCACAGCUUCCGGAUCUUUAAACGAUCUCGAGCCUUUCCUCAUUAGCAAGGUCAGCCUGAUCUUGUUGCUUUCAGCAACAAGAUCAGGAUUAAUCCCACAGUACCUCCGUGCUCUGCAUCUCAGCUGAUCGUAAACUCGAAGCGUCUUCUCCACCCCUAUACCCCCCAUAUUGUGCCUCAUCACCACCGCCUUCUCAAAACAGUACGUCUCAUCAUUGCUCCCUUCUAACUUAACCUCUCCAUAAUUAGCUUCCAGGAGUUUCUCUAGCCACGACCCGAUUCCAAACCGAAACUCUCCCCAAUGGAACAGCACCCACCUGGUCGGACCGGAGCAUUCAUUCUUAAUCGACCAUCAUAUGAAAGGCACCAUUGCUGUCAAACCAUGCCACAGGUUGACAUAGUCGAAAUAAGUGUCUGACACGAAUGUCAAGCCUCGCAUAAUCCUCGCAUUUUCGGGAAGAGCUUCCGGCCAGGCCAUUGCGUAUGAAUUUUUGCUACCGUCUUUGGUGUUGUUACCCCGAAUGCAUAGAAGCCUUCCCUUCGAUGUUGCCGAAGGGAAGUAGAGGUAUUCAGACUCGUUGACUUCCCGAGUGUCGGCCAACGAGCUCAUGAACCAAGUGUUGCCUUCCAUGGCGGUGUCCGCGAACCGAAGGUCUUUCAGCGGGAGGAAAGUGACCGAGUCUCGGAGCUUCUGAGUUGAUAAACCAUCGUUGUUAUCGGAUCUGUUCGACGAAUUUCGGAAUGAUGAGUAGAAAGGGGAAGCUUGGAGCUGAAGAAAGCUGAGAAACAGCAGAGUGAGGGAAAUGAAGGUGGCCAGAACGAUUUUGGAAGUGAACUUGGAGCUUGGUUUUGUUUCAUCCAUGGCUUCUUCCUCAAAACGUAAGGUGGAAGAAGUUGUUCUGUCUGGUAUUUGUUAAAAAUAUUCUCGAGAUUGAAGAUAUUAAAUUUGGAGUAGGAGGUAUUUAGUCAACUCCUCCCAAUAAAUAAAAAUACAUUAGUUAACUCGGUUAGAAAAAUUAAUUAAGGGGAAACACGGACCCUGAUUUUCAGAUCAAAUUUAGUGACGAACUGACAAGCUGCAUCUGCUCAAUUCUGGAUGCAGAAACCAUUCAUAUAUAUAAAUUAGUUCUCGAGAAAUCAUAUCUCUCCAAUCUGGGAAUCGUAUGGGAUGAGUGGAUGAAAAUCAUCUAUAAUCUAGAUAAUCGAUCCUAAUCGUUAAUUUUCUAUUUUAUUUAAGUGAAUAGAUAAUUAAUUAGUAUGUAAUAUUGUUUUAUUUUAAUUGAUGUUUAUUUUAUUAAUUUCUAUAUUUUCUACUAUUAUUUUUUAAUUGAAAAUAAUUUUUAUUAAUUCCUUCUCUUUUUUUAGGUCAUACUAUCAUCAGUAGUCUAAACUAAUUCAUUUCUUUUUCCUUUUUAGAUUAUCAAUUAAAAAGAAGUUUAAAGGAUAAACAACACUUGAAAGGAAAGAGAAUAUCAUAUAAUAAUUAAUUAUCUACAAACCAAAAUAAAAUAUAAAAUAUAAAAUUAAUGAUUAUGAUUAAUUAUCUAAAUUAGAAAUGAUUUUCAUCAUCUUCUCCUAAAAGUUUCCCCAAAUUGCGUUGGGGAGGAAACGAAAUGUAGGUCGUUUAAUUGAGGUUCCAGAACCUUCUGAACCAGAAGGCUAUGAGUCUAAUGAUAGGUUUAAUAAAAAUAAAUAAAAGACUUACAAGCACCUUCAACUACUAUUCACAACAAAAGGCUUACAAGCACGAGAUAUAAUCUACACCCGUGCAUUUUUCACAUUGAAAUUGAACCUAUGGUUGACGUAUGCUGACCGACUCGACUCGACUCAAAGUCUCGACACGAUCAAUAAUUUAAAUUGAUGAAAGGCCAACAAUUCAAAAUUUGUUCACCCCAAAGUCUAUAAAAGCAUGUAAACUAAGUGAAUCGCUAUCAAAUUAAUCUAAAAUCCUACCGGUUUGUGAUCUAAAGAACCUGAAACCCGAUAAACCUACAACUCAUAAUCUAAUUACCCGAUAAACCCACAACUCAUAAUUUGAUUAAUCCAACCGUAACCUGUUUAACAGCUCAUGAACCCAUCAACAAGCAGGGCACAAGUAGAAAUCAAUCACCGUCCCUUUUGUAUAGGUUGGCACACAUAAUGGUUAUGACCCUUUUGUAUAGGUUGGCACACAUAAUGGUUAUGACGCCUCCUAUUUGGUGCGAGAAUCUUAUGACCGAUAUUUGUUUGAAGCCUAAUCAUUAAUAUUACAAGUAGCCCUAUUUCGAAAAAAAUAAUCACCAUCCCUUUCAUAUUAGCUGCUUUCACAUUAGAAUUCUUCUAUUUACAAAAAUAUGUACAUAACUCGGUCUAAGUUGUCACACUAGGAAAUUUAGCUACUGCAUCCUUGUUCAUCAUCUCCACUGAACGAACCCCGUGGAUAUACACUUGCUAGCAAUGUCAGUUCGACAGUCAAUGUCAGAAGUUGGGUUUCAGAAAGCUCUACAAAGGGUGCUGCUGGCUGUGAUGUUAGCUGAACAUUGCGGUUCUAUCGGCCUCGCAGGGCUACACAGCCUGCUUCUCUUCGGUUCCGAGAUCUUCACCUGCGACAUCGCCACCGCCAGUGCAUCCACGACCAAUUCACAUUCUUCUUCCUCCACCUCGUCCUCCUCUGCUUCAGACUUGCAGCUUAAACUAUCGAAAACUGGAUGCUUCCGCCACCACUUUCCACACAGUUCUGCCGAUUCAGGUGCAGCAAUCGCUUCCUGCGUUGAAACUGGUCGACCCUGGUCGUUCCUUGGCUUUGACUUGAAGGACAAGGGUUUCAACGUGCGAUCUGUGUAGAAUAACACCCAUGGAUGCCCUGCAAAAGAAAUGCAAGCCCAGUUGUCAGCUUAGUAAGAUUAGGGACUGGAAAUUCAAUCAGUCACCGCAGCCGAGUCUGGCCAACAAAAUUGUGACCGAGUUGAGUAAUUCUGCCAGAGUUGGUCUUAUAAACGAAAUGAAAUCGAGAUGUGAGCAAUUUUGAAAAAUAAUGGACCAUAUAACAUGGCCAUGGACAUUAAUUCAUGGGUUUGGCGACAUGCACGGUUUUCGGUCAAUGACCGAGUUGGCCAAAAUCGCACAUGGUUCCAAGCCUAUGAUGGCAGCUGACUUAAGAUUAGUGAAAGCAUUUUCGAGCCGGCCAUGGCAGGUUUCCGGCUGUUGGGAGGAUGAAUCAAACCAAUCCAUGAAACAGAAACUUCAGCAGGCAUAACAGGUUCUGAAAAAGCUUACUUAGUGCUUCAUCUGCAGUUAUCCGAGUAGAAACAUCCCUAGCCAACAUUCUUGCAAGCAAGUCCCGUGCGGGUUUGGACACCGAAUCCCAUAUCCCUGUCUGGAAAUCAAGCUUUGCGGAUUUGAUCGCCUCGAAAACCGAUUCCAACGAGUCCCCUUGAAAAGGAAGAACACCAGUCAAGAGGGCGUGCAGCAGAACACCAGCACUCCAUAUAUCAACCUCCUCGGAAUAGUUUCCUUGCAGAACUUCGGGUGCAACAUACGCCGGACUUCCUGCCAAACCGGAUAGCUUCUGACCUACAAAAAUAAAACCCGACAAUGAACCAACAAUAGAACUUCAAAACGAGCCGGGUUCACAGUGGAAAUCCACACCUACCGUUCGAAAUCCUCAUGGCAAGGCCGAAAUCAGCAAGCUUGAUCUUCCCCGAGCUAACAAGAAGUAUAUUCUCCGGCUUAAUAUCUCUAUGAACAACACCCAUCUCAUGGCAAUACUUGAUCACCAACAUCACAUCCUUGACCACAUUGGCAGCCCGUUGUUCCGAGUACUGAUCCUCUUUAACCAUCUGAUCAAUCAAUCUUCCUUCGGAGCAGAACUCCAUCACUAAGUGGAAGAACUCCAAUUCUUCAUACACAGCGUGCAAUGUCACAACACCAGGAUGUCCGGACAAAUGCUGCAUUAUCUCGACCUCUCUGUGAACAGUCUCUUCCCCCUUCUUCAACGUCUUACAAGCAAACUCCUCCCCGGACGCUCUGGACCUACACAACGAAACAGAACCGAACUUCCCUUUCCCUAGGGUCUCGCCAAAGGUGUAGUCGUCUUCGAUCCUGUUCUUCCUACCGGUUUGAGUCGUAACUUCGAUGCACCCUAUCUUUCUCUUGAGCCCUCUCCCUGGAGAUGCCAAUGAAGAAGUUGAAGGUGGUGCAGUUGCAACCCCUGCAAGCCUGCUUUUCAAUGAAUUGAUUGGCGGCUCUUUGCCUUUUGCAUCAUCAUCAUCAACCUCUUUACACUUCUUGUUUAUCCUAUCGUAAUCCUCCAAUGAGUAAUAGGACGUCAAAUCAUCACUUUCUCCACCUUUCCUCUUUUUCCUCAUCAAGUCGGAUUGCAAUCAAAACUAAUUUUUCCAAUCAGAAACAAAAUCCCUAAUUCAGGAAAACAUCGCAGCAAGGAUAAACCCUAACUCGCCGACAACGCGACAAUCCAGAGCUUCUGAUUCCAAGUGACGAACAAGCACAAAAUAACGAAGAAGGUAUGGAAAGAACGAACCUCGAAAAUAUGAAUCGAGGAGAUCAGACAGCGUUUGUAAUGGCGAUGAAUUGACGGCGAAUUGAAUCCAGCUGGAUCCCCCCUGGAGAUGCGAGGGGGGAAGAAUAUCGAGAUGAAUGUCAGAUUCUCAACCAGUGAUGUUGAAGGAGGUCGGAGAAAAGAAUGAAAUGAUGAAUCGCCGAUCAGACGAUGGAGAGAAGUCCGGCGGGAAGAAUAGGGGAACGGAGAUCGCGGAAUCUCCUCUCUUCUAUCUAUUCAUUGAAACGGAUCAGAGGACGAGGGGAAAAGUGGCUUUCACGGUGGGUAAUUUUACUAAUUAAUCAGGAGCUGGUCAUAAAUAACAAAUCAGUCACAUACUUAUUCUGUUGUGGCAAAAUCAUCACUUAUAUUCAACGAUAGUAACAAAAGUAACAAAUAUGUCACAUACUUAUUCUGCUGUGGCAAAAUCAUCACUUAUAUUCAAUGAUAAUAACAAAAUGAACUUUUUCAGAGGUAUCUUCAUCAUGUCACGUAAUUACUUAGUAUGUUUUUGUGUAUAAACCCAUUCCUUUGGCGGGUUUGAUUCUUUUUGAAUGAAAGGUUAGUUCGUCGAAAAUAUCCAUUCCUUAAAGAGUAUAUUUUAUGAUCGUUUGUUGUAUGUUUUUUAAUUUUUUAUCCGUCAACGAUCAACGAUAAGGUUAAAAUUUAUUAGAAUUUUCCCCUUCUAAAUCAUGACUCUCUUUAAUCAUUGGUAGAGCUACAUGUACACAAGGAAAGGUGCAUGCAGCCCCCUUGGUAGGCUUAGCAAUUCAAAUUUGACGGAUCAUAAUCUCAUCGAGUUUGACAGUUAUUAACCGUGUUGAAUGGGUAUUUUUAGAUUACGUUUAUAAGCGUUAACCGUUAGGAAUGGGUAAUGUUAGGUUAUGAGUUUUGUAGUAACUGCACCAUCACCGUAACGAUACCCAUAACCAUCACUGACCCGCUAUAUAACCAACAUUUACCCGUCAAUACAUGAGCCCAAUAAACCCACUAGAUAACCUAAUCUAUUUACUCAUUCCUUCCUAAAAAAUAUCUCAUUUGUCAUCACCCACUUCGAGAAUAUCUCUUUGUCUCCUCAUUUUCUAUAAAACUCAAUUAUUUUUCUUCGAUAGAAAAUAUCUCAUCCACCACUUUAAAGAUGAGUUAAAGUGGAUGCAUUUUGAUUUUUUAUUUUUUCAUAACGGAGAGUGAUUAUAACCGUUAACCACGUGGGUAUGGUGAUGGAAUUACUUUUAUUACCGAAGUAAAAACAGGGAUGAUUAUAGUUGAUAACCGUCCCAAAAGUAAAUGAAUAAUGAAUAUAUCAUAACCAUCCCCAAAUCUCUUGACUCUUGCUCCUUUUCAAAAACUCCUUUUCAAAAACUGAAUUUCUAAUUCAAAGUUGGAUUCUAAGUAGGGAUAUUCUAGAAUUCAAACACAUUUUAUUGGUCUAACUGAUUUCAUAACCGAAUUUAAAUGGUUCAUAAGCCGAAGAAUUGAUGAUUUGUCGAGUUAGACUAACUCGGCCGCAGUCAUGGUUUAAUGGUUCAUCCCAGUCAUUGGCAAUGUGAAUUGACAACGUGCAAGGAAGUAGUCUUAUUUUCUUAUACAUGGUUUUUACCUUACACAUGGUUUUUACCUUACACAGUACAUUAUUUUUGAAGUACCAGCAAGUAGACAAAAGCUAAGGUAAUUGCACACCAAGCCUAGUUAAAACUUCAAGUCUAGAUCUUUUUAUUUUGAAACUUUUACUACGACGGAAACUCAUGAGAAACCUCGUUGGCAGAACGAGUUGGCCUACCACCAGUUCCGAUCGAUGUAAUAUGAACCUCAUAUGUGGUAAAAUAGGCCAUCCCAGCACUGCUCGGCAUCUUGGCCCUAGCCGAAAAUUGUACGAGGUAUGGGAACCAACCUAGCAUGGUCACCCUUUUCAACAUCUUGAUCACCACCUUUGCCGAAUACAGUCAUAGGUAUAGGAAACAAUCCAGCAUCGCCCUCCUCGACAUUCAUACCGCCUUUGCCGAAUACAGUCAUGGGUAUGGGAAACAGCCCAGCAUCAUCCUCCUCCUCACCAAAACCACCUUUGUCGAACACAGUCAUAGGUAUGGGAUCGUUGACAUCGAGACCACCUAAUUUUCCGAAUAAACGAGUUAUGGGGAAGAUCAUAGCAUCUCCAUGUUCACGAUGAUCUACUGCAAGAGCAGGGAAGAGUGGAGGGUGGGAUAGUUUGGACGAGAUUGGGACUAGUUUGUCGUUGGUAAUAGAGUUAGGGAAGAGGGGCACAAGUGUCCUUUUGGAUGAUGGUAAGACAGAGCUCGGAACGAAGCUACUGAUGAUCAUAGCCAUGAUUGAUGGUAUUAUUAGUGAUAGGGAAUAAUUAGGAUGAUUUCUUACGUUUGUUUCUUUGAUCUUGUCGGUAUUUAUAGGUUUUUUU